rnacentral:lncRNA from 1 species
AGUUUUCAGAUUCUAUGGCAAUGCGAUAUUAGUUAGGCAGUUGUGAUUUGUAGUCCCAUGCAUUGGAUCACUAACUUAUCCACAAGUUAAUCUUUUACUCCAGAGAGAUUGGGAUGUUUAGGGCGCCAUUUUUUGCCCUGGUGCCUGUCAAUUCCACCAUGUGCAUGUUUAUCAUCAUUUUCUUCUUCUUUUGCUGCUCUUUUCAGUUUCUUAUGCACCUUAGGGUGAAAUGCUGAAGUUUAAGCUUUUGUGUAGCCAUCGUUUGCUUUGUGUUCUCUGCUACUUUUAAGGCUUAUUUUUGCAUAUUUUAGAGUAAGAUCUACUUUAGGGGUCUUGGCAGACAGCCCUUAGAAUGCAGAGAUUGUUGUCUUGCCUGCCGUUUAGCACUUUUGGAUUCUGCUAGCACAGUUUUUAGUGAGCUCUUUUAAGCAGUAAUGCAAAUAAUCUGGCUAUUCUAUUGAAAUGUGCACCUAGCUUGUGAAGAAGUAGCUUCACUAAAGGGCCAUCUACUGUUGCAGAUAUUCUGGAUUUGCCGAUGUAAUGAGACUCCACCGCAUGAAGCCACCAUAUUGUGACAUAUUCUUGAUUGCCUAGGCCAGGGGGAGCUGCUGCUUUAGGCUUUUACCUAACUUCACUUAGCUAUGUUUGCCUUGUGGAAGUAACUUGCAUAGUUGCAUCCUAGAUUCAUCUUAGAAUAUUACUUCUGGUGCAGCACUUGUGGCUCGUCUAUUGCAAUCCUCACUUACAAACUAUUGUUGAUAAUGGUUCCCAUCUAUCAAUUUUUCAUUUAGACAGUACUUGUGAACAUCUCAUUGUACUUCAUGUCAGUCAUAUUGGUCUGUGUUUAGUUCCCUAUGUCACAUAUUGGGUUGUCAUUAGGAAUUCUGUUACUUGUUAAGUUAUGCUUCAUGGACUGAUUGCAUUUUUUAGUUCUGCCCUGCAAAAACCUAUGUGUCUUCUCUGUUCUCUUUUUUGUUACUUGGUACGUAUGCUGGGUUCACUGUCUACACCUACGAUAUAGUUUAUAGUGAAGUUCUUUGUUCCAUAACUCAGGGCACUUACGCCGUCGUCUCCAGUUCCUAAAUUUGUCAGGAAAUCAUCCUUUAUUUGAUUCCUGUACAACUUAAUUUAGUACAUACCGACUGACAUGUCCCCCUCACAAGAGCGUAAGUAACAUUAUAUUUUGUUUGUCGGAGUCUAUAUAUCUAUAGCAUCUUAUGUCGUGAGCCUGUCAGUUUGACAAAAAAUUAGCUAUCACAGGUCCUACUAUAUCCCCCUAAGUGCUAAAAUUUUCUGUUAGAUUUGGAGGUGACUACUUAUCCUAUGCUCCUAUUAGGAACCUUCUAUCGAUUCUUUUGUCAAGAUGCCCAUUACUAUAAUGGUAUUGCUGAGUACAAAGUCUGUAAGGUAACAAUAUAGUACCAAUAUUGACACAAACCUUGGCGUUGCCAUUUUGACAACAACCACUAUAACUUCCUCAAGACAACUUUUUUGAUUCUCCAUUUUUGCCCUAUUUCCUACUUCAUUUUUGGGAACUAUUGUCAUAAUUGUCAUGCAUCUCAUCAAUAUAUAUUUUCCAAUUUUACUGUGUGCAUCUUAUUCUUUUUAGUGAUUUCACACUUAGCUGCCAUUAUUUUCUCAUCAUUGCCUUUGUUUGUACCUACUUUUUUUUAGCCAACCGCUAUAGGAGCCUUGCUCACAGCUUGAUUAGCUAUUUUUGUUUCUUAUAUGGAGUUUUGAGUGUAUUAGGGGUAUCUACUUUAAGUGUUACGCAUUUAAGGUCUUUAUAAAGUUAUAUCAUUUAAUCACCUUAACAUGCUCAUUGCUCUCCCCUUUUUGCCUCCUCUUUCCACCUUUAAUAGCUUUAUCUUCUCUGACUGUUUUUCCAACUUCUUGUUUGAGUCUUCACCUCAUAUUACUUUUGUUGGUCCUUCAAACAAAUUCCCAUUACUGGUCAUAGUUGACCUAAGAUAUUGAUUCUUGAUAGAUUUGGGGAUGUAUUCCACCAACUUGCCGUUGUUUUACCCCUAGAUGGCGACCCUAGAAACAUAAAUGCCACUUAUUUGUCAUCUUGGUGAAAAUUUCUUCUGAGUCACAAGCUCUACAUGCUUUACUUAUAAUUGAUUGUUCAUUGUUGCAAUCAUUAUUCAUCAGAUUUUUAGUCGUUCAAUAUAAUGUGAUAUGUGGUCUCAUGAACUUGUUUCUUGAUAGGGGACAGCACACCAUUGUCGGCAUUUUGCAUGACAAAUGUUGGAGAAUGGGAUGCAUUUAGGAAUGUUGAUAUGGAUGUGGAGGUUUGUUACUUUACUGUUUCUUUUGUGAAGUGUAUAUGUUCAUUACUUGUUUUCUUGGGUAUGAAAGUAACUCAUCAAAAUUUUAGAAUGUGGAGAUUGCUGGGAACCAAAUUUUAGACUAAAACUUUAUGAAUUUGCUAUAACGCUAACCUCAACUUUCUAGAUUCAGUGAUUUGAUAAAAGGGAUCAUUGAAGAGAAAAAUAAAUCACUUAUACUAAAAUUGAUCAACAUUUUUACAGGCACAUAGCAUUUGGUCAUUUGUGAUGUUCGCAUCAUGUUCUUUUAUUAUGUGCUCAUGCAUGUGUGAUAUCUAUAGAUUAUAUGCAUAGUCCAUAUGAAUUUGCUUUAACACUUACUCCUUAAAUUUGAUGGUAAUAAUCCUGGAUCUUUAUCGCUGGAACUGCAAAAGAGGUUUUAAUUUUUAGAGGCACAUCAUGCAUGGGCUUAUCAUCUUUGUUGGAUAGUGUUCAGACUUCAUCUUAAUCAAUGCACUUUCACCCACUUGCCUCUCUGUGUCGUCACGAUAUUUCAGCAUGCACUUGUUGGCUAUAGCCAAAGUUUGCCAGUGCCAUUGGACUUGUGUCAUAUUAGGAUCAAAAAAAAUCCAGAAAACCUUCCUUCGCUAAACCAUUAUUAGAUCCAAAACUAACAAAUGAUGGAUUAUUUUUCAGCUCACUACCAUUUCUGGUCUUCUGGCCUUUUUUGUAAUAUCCCUAUAAUUGUGAGAAUUGCUUGCUUCCUCUUAACCAGUAUAAUGUUUGAAUCCAAAGAAAAAGAAGUAGAAAAAUCCUAGGCAAAGCAGCCAAUUGGAGUUGAAUCGCAGUUUGCUCUCUAAUUUUCUGGCCUAUUACUUAAGGCUAGUUUCUUGAGCUGUUUUAUAGGUAUUCAGUCCAUUGGUUGAGCCUUCCAUGUAUUAUUUGAUGAGUGCCCUGGAACCUAUUGUUAACUAGCUAGUCAGCACCGGUCUGGAUCAUUCUUUAAUCUUUGUUUGCUUGAGGGUAAGCCCUAAUCAUUUUUUUGUAGUCUAUUGUCAAGGUUUGACUUGGCUGCAGUUUGGGAAAUUAUUGAUAAUGUCACUUCAUAUGUAAUCACUUAAUAUAGUGCCUUUUGCUUUAAUGAGUACUCUUUAGUAUCGAUGGUAAGAUAUAUAAGUAUCACAUUUUGUUUACAGCAGUUUAGCAUGUCAAUAAUUACAAUUCUGAUUUUUGUGUUAGGCAAACAUGAUACAAGCCUUGGAAAAAUCUUCAACAAAAAGAAAAGGCCAUGUUGAUAAUGAUAAGAAGAUUGCAUUGAAUGCAUGGCAUCGGGUAGAUUGCCGAACAAGAGAAGCACUGCGGCGUAAUUUCCUAUCCGAACUGGUUGAGAGUUAUGAAGUAAGUUGUUUAAUAAAUUAUAUAUUUGAUAAAUUUUUGGAGCCCCAGCUACAUUUGUAUACUUCUUGACAUGUUUUUCCAACAUGAUGUCGAUCAUCUGUUUUCCUUUUCAGAAUUGAAUAUGUGCUACACAUUAUUUGAUUCUGUUUUUCACUAUGUACUUCAACUUUUUCCGAUUCUGAUUAAACUUUGUUUCCUGAUGGUUAGGAAGUAGAAAGGUGGAUGAGUUGGCAUGAGUAAAUUGAUGGCCUACGGGUUUAUGAGUGUAUAUAUGUUGAAAUGUUUGCUUUUCUUGUUCAUAUUUAAUAUUUUGAUGCCAGAGCUUAAGGAAGGCUCAACAUCUUUUUCGCUUUUUAACACAUUGUACAUUUUUGUAUCUUCAGAGACAUCUGAUAGACUUGGAAAACUUCAGAGAAGAUCAUUAGGGUGAUAGGGUCCUCGUGCAGGGAUGGUGUGCACAAUUUUUGAAACAUAGUGAAAAAACUUUCUAAUCUGUUUCGGUUAAAUUUGUGGAUCCUUUUUUGCCUCAUUCUUGUUGAGGACUACAUUUUGAAGUUUAAACCAACGGAUUUCUUUUUGUUCCUUCCUCCCUCAACUUUUUAAACUUGGUUUUUCCUUUUUGACUUUCAAAUAUUUCAAUAAUAUCAUUUUCUCUAUUAUUUGAUCCAACUAUGAGGACCGUUGCCACCAACUUCUCUUCAGUCGUUGUGUAUGAUCCUGAUCAAUACUCCACCACUUUACAUCUUUUUGUCUAACUCAUGAGAAUCCUUUAUCUUACAUAUUUGACUCUAUCUUUAUGGUACUUUUGUUCCUAGUUUGUUGAGUGCCUCCUUUCAUUGUAUUUUCCCCUAAAGCUGUGAAUAGUGCUUGUUUUGGGACAAAUAAAUCAUCCAUUCACAUUGUUUUAGUAUUUAAUCUUUGUUUUUGAAACCCUUAAUCUUUAAUGGGUUUGACUUAUAUAAAUCCAGCAACUAAAAUUGUUUGUGUUUCUAGACAUGAGGGGUAUUCAGCAAAAUGGCCAAUUGCUCUUAUAUUUGAAGUGCUCGCACUUCUUUUCUUCCACUUAUUUUGCAGCUUUGAUGGAAUACAUGAAAUUUGGUCUUCCUUGUGUUCUUUCAAAAUGUGAGGUGUGUAUAUGGUCUGAACCACCUUUUGGGGUGAGUUUAAAUCCCUUUUCUCUUCUGCCUAAUUCUUCAUCUUUCUAAACGUUCUCUUCCAUCCCGCGGACAUUAUUAUCGCUCUGAUACCUUCAACCCUUCUCCCAUGGAUGCCAGACAUGUUAGGCCCUCCAAACACUAUAGCCAGCCACUUAUCUUGCUUCCAGUUUGAGCCCAGGCUUGUAUUAAAUUUUUGAAUGCUCAAAGAUUAUAAUUUUUUGGUAUAAGGCUCAAGCUUGAUAUUUAAACCAUAUAAAUUAAUCAAACAUCAGGCGCCAUACUAAAGAUGUUUACUAUUGCUGAUUUCUGAAAAGCUGGACCUUACUUCUUGACUGUACUGCACAUUCAAAGAAUCAUAUAACCCAAGCUAUAUGGGGCAGAAUUGUGACAAAUUAAGGGACCAUAUGAUGACUAUAAGAUACUGAGAAAUAAUCUAUGGGAAUGAGUGAUAUGGUCUUGAAAUUUUGGAAUUUAGUUGCACCAGAUUGCUCCACAUCAGCUGGUAAUGCUUCACAACCACAUCAGGAAGUGAUAUGGUCUUAAAAUGUUUGAAUUGAGUUGCACCAGAUUGCUCCACAUCAGCUGGUAAUGCUUCACAAUCACUUGAUGAAGUGAUAUGGUCUCGGAAUUUUUGAAUUCAGUUGCACCUACACAUCAGCUGGUAAUGCUUUGCACUUACAUCAUGAUGGUAUUUUGUGAUAUUGCACAAAAUACUGAACACAAUGGGAUAGCUCUUGCUAUUGGUGUGAUAUCCACCUGCUACACGGUACCAAUUCUUUAUGGUCUUACAAACCAUAGAGUACAGAAUAGUUUCCCAUGAGAACAUGUAAAUUGCUCAUGCAUAAAACCUAGAAUAAACAAUCGCUAAUUUUUCAAGGUUCUAUUAUAUUUCUAGUUUCCUAAUCUUAUUUAUAUUAAAUUUGUUGUUCUUUUGGCAGUUGUUAUUACAUAAUGUACAUAAAACUUAUACCAUGACAUUGGAUAUCAUAUGUAUCAGCAAUCAAGCUAACCAUAACAAGUGCCUAUAUUUAAAAGCUUAGGGCUUGUCACUGGUUUUGGCCGGCUACAUAUGUCAAACAACUACAUUAGUUAUCAUCAUCAAUAUUAAAAUUAUUAUCAUAUUUGCAAGUUCAGAGAGUUAGGAUGUUAAGGUCGAUUUCAAUUUGUGGACCACAUGAUAAUGCUUGUCUUGUUGCAAUUAUAAUAUCAGAGUUCGAACAAGCUAGAAGCUCUGAACCAAGGAUUUUGUUUUACUCUUAUGUUUUUCUCCAUCUUUAGGGGACAUUCACAUGUUUGAAUGCUUGCUUUGCUUAUAUCCGCACUAAAUUUUAUCAACUCUGAAGGAACACGUACGGGCAUUCAUCAAGGAUAGUGGAGAUGGCGAUGUGCUUGUGCUACAUGUUCAAGAUCCAUUUCACAGACUGUUGCUGCAUGGUGUAUGCGAGGUAAUUAUUUCUUUGUUGUGUUUGCAGAACCAUGAUCACGUCAAAACUUUAUAUUUGAACUGCCGACUGUUUUCACGGUUAAGCCUUCACUAGUUGGAAGUGGAUAGCACUGGCACUAUAUGAUGCCACUUUUUCUGCUUUCAAAAGAAUUAACAUGGACUGUAAAACAGGCGUUUACUUAUGUUCUUUGCUUUUACUAAAUUUUAGAAAUAAAGGUAUUGUAUAGGAACCAGAUUGGUCGAUAACUAUCCUUUUGAACUCAUAAUACUCUUGGGCUUCAUUGUUUAAAUCUGAGCCUUUUCUUUUCUUUAUAUACAGUUCUACAACCUGAUCUCUGUAACUGUUUCAACUGCGCCGGGUGCAAAGCGGUGGAAGAUAACAAAGAUUAAGAAGAAAUUGGGUUCUCAAGAGAUACCCCCAAAUAUCACACUUGUCCAAUUUCUUAAAAUGGCAAAGGAUGGGCUUUUAUAGUGUGCCUUAGGGGGAGAAACCCUUUGUAUAUUGAUUGAUUAUAAAUGUGAUCAAUUGCAGAUGUAAAUUAUUUAUCCCACGAAGCUGUUGGCUCAGAAGUCGGACAAAAUUCUACUUCAGAUGCAAUGCUAGAUUUAAGCAGCUACAGCUUAAUAAAAUAAUACACAUUCAUGUUCAUGGAAUCAUGCAUUGUGAUGAUAGCUUCCAACUUACAUGUUCUGGAUUGUGCACAAUACUUUUAUGCAAUCAUUGGAUUCGACAAUCUUUUUGGCCCCUAACAUCCCAAAUGUUCCGCACUAUUGUCUACAACCAUCAUUUUCCCCUUAGUUUCAAUGGACGAGUCAGGUGGGUUUGAAAGGAAAAAUUCCACUUCUUUUGCACAAAUGACAUGUCGAAAUUAACUAGACUAUUACACCUCCCCACCUUCGAAUGAUGCAUACAUUUGAUGUACACUACAAUCAUUGAUACAUGCAUAUAAAUAAUUACAGGUCGACGCACAUACAUGAAUUCUCUCGUGGUGAUCAUAAGGGCAGGUAUAUAAUUGUUUACUGAAAUCUAAAAUUGAUUGUGUUUGUAAAAGGUUAUAACCAUGCAACCACCUUUGCAAAUAUCAAACUAGGCUCAGCUGUUAAAAUGAACAAGCUACUUGUCGAGUUAACCUUCUCGGCCUAAGGUUUUAAUCUGAAUUUGCCACCAUCUGGUUUGAGCUUGGCUUAUUUUCUCUGUUGACAUGCUUAAUUAAUUAUUUAGUUAAACUCGAGCUGAUACUGAUACUGUAUCGAAUUGGAUAGUACAAAUAUAUUAGAUCAUACCUAUUUGGUAUCAGUAUACAGCAUAGAGAGUGUAUCUAUAUUUAGUACACCGAAUCAGCUUUUCUGCUAGAUGUAUCGACAUAAUAACAUCAGUAACGCAUCUUGAUUUGCAGCUUUAUAGAGAAUGGUUUCAUGCACAAGGAUUGUCUCAUCCAUGCAUGCACACAAAGGCUUGGUCUAUUUUGCCUCUUUGCAAACGAACAAACUCAGAAGCUGUGGGUGCUGAGAAGCAGUCCCACGCAACCCAUCGGCUAUAACGUCCCAUUCUCUCCAGCAAGCAAAACAUAUAUUAAACAUGGUUCCCGUUGUUUCUUAUCUCUUCCCGGGUCCCAAUUUCGCAACAUCACGAUCAGAAAGUCUUCCCCACUUCGUCUUCAUCUGUUCUUGCCUCUCAGAAAAAUCAAAUGCAAGUCUUCCUUGCAUCCCUCUCCACUCCCCCCCGCACCAAGCACCGUAAAAAACCACAGCUGAGCAAAAGAAUUGCAAAGAACACAGAGGGGAAGGAGCAUGGGUCAGUCCACAAGCACAAGAAGAGGAAGACACCACCGCCAUCGUUCUUUAAACCCCUCUUCCAUCCGUCCUCCACCCAACUUGGGCCUCUUUAAUCCUCCUCCACCACCACCUCCUCCCCAACCCAGUUAUCUUGUUUCUUUUCAAUCCACUCCUCACCACGCUCAUCAUCCUUCCCCAAGACCCCCUCCUCAUCCUUCUUCUUCUUCUCAUUAUGCUGCUGAUCGAGGAAGUGGGUGGCCGUCUUCCUCUUCCUCUUCCUUCUCGUCUUCUUCUGUGAAUGAGACGAUGGUUGCUUCGAGGCAGCCGGCUUCGUAUGUCGAGCAUCAGAAGGCGACGACCGUCAAGAACUAUGUGAAUUUGCAUAAGAACUCGAUCCGGCUGGAGCCUGACAAGCUCAAUCCUGAUCACCAUCUGGUUUCAUUCACUUUUGACUCUUUAGUUGAUGGGAGGUGAUUGAUUUUUAUUGCCUUUUUUAAUUCACUUUUGUGCUUCAAAUUCUAAUAUUGCAGCAUGCAAUUUUUGCACCUUAUCCAUUUAUAUGUUGCUUAGUUGGUUACUCAUACAGAAUUUAGUUUUCCAUUUGUUUUCCAUUCAAGUACCUGAAAAAUGAGUGAUAUUCCACUGAAUUUAUCAUUGAUUUUCAGAUGGAUGAAGAGCCAUUUUGUUUGUUGCAUUAGGUUUGCUAAUCUUAUCUAAAGAUGCAAUUAUUUUUGUUCCAAAAGUGAUUGGAGUUGAAGACUACUUAUUUCAAAGGAAGAAUUAAUUAUAGGACAAUCAACAAGAAUGUGCCUUGGCUUUCCCAACAUCAAAUUUGCCCUUAGAGCCUAUUUGGAUACAGAGAUCCUUCAAAUCACAUGUGAUAGUUGUAUCCAAUUUUUUAGUCAAAUAAUUUAGACACAAGCAGGAUAUUUAUUUACUAUUUACUUUAUGUAUCACAUUAGUUAAAACAAAGAAGUGGUCCGGAAAUUUCCUGAUUGCAUUCUGGAGUUAAACUGUAUGCUAAAAACAGAAGUCUCGAACAUUUUAUUGUUUCAAAAGCAUUUCGGCUGAAAUAGAACAUAACCAUGCCAUCAACUAUAUAUAGGUGCCUCACAGCUAGACUCAAUACAUUAUCUAGUUUUUGGAUAAUACAUGUAUUUCUCUGAGAUGGAUUUUAGAUUUUUUUUUUGUGCAACUACACAUUGGGGAUUAGUGGAAGCCUACAUUCUAGAUUGAUGAGAUGCAGCAUAAAUUGUUAGUUAUGCAUGCCCUUUAGGUUGUUCAAAGCACCGAAUACCUUUAUGUGAGUGAUGAACCAAGCCCUUCAUAUUUUCUGAGAAUGUUUGCAUUUAUAACAUGUGCAAAACUAUCACUUGCCGGUUACGGGAAGUGCCAGAAAAUUAGAGGGAGGAUGGAUUUUCUUUAGGCAAAGUAAGUUUACCUUUACGGCCAACUAAAAGUUUUUGGAAUGAGCUGCCUGGUUCAGACAGUACCGAGCUGACCUAGUGCGAAACUGGAUCAGUUCGGCUAUUAUAUUCGGUUUUGCCCGGAACCGCUAUUGGAUUGGCAGGAACUAGCCAGAACCGGCUAGUUCGGUACCGACUCGGUGCGAACCAGCUAGUUCGCAUCGAGUCAACCCGGUUCGAACCAGAUUGGGUAUGAUAUUAUUGCCACUGCCGCCUAGUGUUGAGAAGACUCGAGAGGCCUUCCCAAUGCUAUUUGAAAACGGCUCUGCCGCUUCUUCUUUCCAAAAGAUUUAUAAAUAACAUCAAUUUAGACCAUCAAAAGGAGGAUCAAAGGCUAAAUAAGGUAUGCCUUUUCUCUCCUAUCUCAUUUCCUUUUUUUUGGAGCUUGAAAAAAUAACUCAAAAAUUGCAAAAUGAAAGAAGAUCAUGCCAAAAUUUUUAAUUUGGACUUGAUUUUUUUCAUAUGUUGUAGAUCUAUGAACGAUAUACAUCACUGGCAUAAAAAGUUUUAAUAUUUGUAUUAUAUAUAAUUUUUAGAAAUUAAAAAUAUAUUUUUAGAGUAAAAAUAAUUUUUUAAAUAAAUAAAAAUUAAUAAAAGGUAAAAUCAAAAACAAAUUUAGAGGCAUGCAAGCUACUUUAUAUAAAAAUUUGGUAUCCAUUCAUUCAAAUUUUAAUGCGAUCAUGCGUACAGUGGCUUAAGCCUAAAUUUUAAAAAAAUAUAAAAUAAGCAGUCUUUGAUGCAUAUCCGAGAGCCUAAAAAAAUAUAUGUAGUAUUUAUUAUUGAAUUCUACAGUAUCUGAGCUAAAAUUAAUUUUUUAAGAUAUUAAUGUUUAAAAAAUAUUUUUAAAUAAAAAUAACUUAAAAUAUAUAAAUAAUACCAAAAAUUAUGAAAAAUUACUAGUACAUACUACAUAAUUCAGAAGUAAUAUUUGAGGUGGAAAUCAUAUUUUUUAAAUUUAUGAUAUUUAAACAUAUUUUUAAAUAUAAAAAUUAUUAAAAAUAUAUAAAUAAAUAUAAGAAUAAGAAAAAUUAGGGUUAUGCAUUAGAUAAGUUUGAUGCAUUUUUAAGGUAAAAAAAAUUAUCUUCAUCGUAAAUUAAUUUUGCUAUUUUUAAAUAAUUAAUAAAUUGACGUACUUGAUAAAUCUGAAGGAAUAGAACCAUUAAGAAAAAGACCUAGAGCGUGAUCUUGGCUAAGAUCAUGGACAAAUGUUCUCAAGCUGACACUAUUGAAAGUGCAACUAGUGUAACACAGAGUUCAAGGAAGAAGAGGUAACCAAGUUGAAGCAACACUUAAUUGGUGGUCGCCUCGACGUAUUUAUAUAUUGAAAAUGCCCAUAAGAGGUUCGAUAACUAGUGAAGAAGCACUUCGUUGAUUUUAGAGCAACGAAGAAAAGGGUUGCCAAGAAGAAGAUGGAUGUGGACUGUCGCAUGGCAGAGCCAGACUACUAUGUAGGCGAGCCUGGAUGAUCAGUGGCCGCAGGAUGAGGUAGCCAUGCAUAGGACUCGAUUUGGGCCCUUGUACUAUAAGUCGGGCUCUAGUUUUACGAGCAGUGGGUCAGAUCCAGAGUUCAAGAGGACCACCUCAGUCAAGAAGGCCACUAGCAAAGGCGGUGGCCGGACUACGUCUAUGCUGGAGGCUUUUGGUAGCAGAAAAAAAUCAUUCAGAGAGAUUCUUCGAGUAGCAGCAAUUCAUGAUUUAAAUCCACAUGCUUUCUCUAGUAGAGAUUUAAAGUAGAGGGUUGACUCAAUGCUGAAGAAGGAUAAGAAGAAAGAUAUGUGGUGAGCUAUUGGAUCCUGUUUCUACUUCAACCACAUCCCAAUGAAUGUAGCAGACAAUACAUACGAGAUGUCUGCCAUUUUUGCCAAACAGGAUGUCGGUUCCGGUGUAGAUCCUUCAGGUUCGAAGGACAUCUACGGUGAGCUUCUUAACAGUAAUAAGGAGAGUUAAAGAAAUGGAUUGCUUCCUACAAGAGCAAGUUGCCCACAUAUGGACCGACUGUGAUGUGUGAUGGUUGGACCGAUCCUACUAGGCAGAGCAUCAUCAUCUAUCUGGCAUACUGUAAUAUGAGACUUUCUUCCACAAAUUGGUUAAUGCUUCUGAUCAGGUGCACGAUGCUUCAUACGUCUUCAAACUAAUGGAGGAGGUGAUUGAUAAGAUAGGAGAGGAGAAUGUCGUGCAUGUAAUUACUGAUAAUGAGUCACAAUAUAAGGCCAUAGGGGAGAUCUUGAUGGAGUGGUAGCCACGUAUUUUCUGAACCCCAUGUGCUGCACAUUGUAUCGACCUCAUGUUGAUGGAUAUUGCGAAGAUUCGUAGGGUGCAAUAGAAAGUGGAGACAACCCAAACCAUCACCAUGUAUAUUUAUAACUAUGCAUGGGUCCUUUUACUGAUGAGGAGGUAUACAAGGGGAGAAAUCUUGAAACUAAAAGUCAUAUAGUUUACUACCAACUACGUUGCACUUAAUAGCCUUUUUGAGAAGAAAGCAACCCCACGUCAAAUGUUUGUCGGUCCCGAGUGGUAGAAAAGUAGAUAUACAAGAGUCGGCACUGAAGAGAGUAGUAUCAAGGACUUGGUGACGAGAUAGACAUUCUGGUAGCGGGCCACUGUGAUAGUGAAGGCUAUCAGACCAUUGUAUGAAGUUCUUUGGGCUGUGGACAAUGAGAGGUACUCCUAGAUGGUCUUCCUAUAUCACAUGAUGGAGAGGGCAAAGAUCCAGAUCAUCAAGGUAGAUCCGACGCAUGCCCAGGAGUACAUCGACAUUAUUGAGAGGCGGUGGAGCUACCAAAUAGAUGGAAACUUAUAUCUAGCAGGUAAGUAAGAAUAUUAAAAAUUAGAUAGCUCUUGUACUUAUUUAAUUUUAUUAAGACAAUAACGAACUCUAUAGCAUACUAUUUGAACCCUCGGUUUCAGUAUAUUGUAUCUAGAAUCGAUAUGGAUGACGAACUUUCGGCCACUCUCCAUAAUGUAAUUUACAAGAUGGAGCCAGAUCUAGAAGUCAUGGCCCUAUGUCUAGAAGAGGUAAGUUAACUUAAGUGACAUGUGUAAGUUAACUGGUAUCUUCUAUUAUUAACAUAGCACAACAUAAUUUUUUUUCAUAAACUAAAAUAUUUAGAGAGGGUAGCGAUAGUUUUGGAGUAUCGGCAGUUGUCAUCAGUAAGAAAAGUAUGAAUCUAGAUAUAUUACAUAUUAGAAGGAUAUUUACCUGACAUUAGAUGGUUAUUAAUAUGGUACUAUUUUAUAUGUAAUUUUUUUUAAUAUUUUUGCAGUUGAAUGGUGGAUUCAUUUUGAGUUAUCCUCAAAAUAUCUUAAACGGCUAGCUAUCUGAAUCCUCUCUCAUAUGAUCUCCUCGAGUGGCUAUGAGCACAAUUGGUCCACCUUUGCCCUCAUCCACAGCAAGCAGAGGAAUCAUUUAACACAGAAGUACCUCAAAGACUAUGUAUAUGUUCAUUACAAUCUGAGGUUGAGGCUAAAGUGCAUUCAGAAAAAAGUGGAGCUCGAGUAUACAAAUCCGAUUUAUAGUACUUUCGUUGAUGAUGAGGAUGAUCCUAUGAUUGGAUGACUUGUGGGUCAGCAGCAAGAUCCGAAGCUUGAGGAACGAGGAUCGCCUCCACGAUCGACCAGUUUCGUAGCCAGCGAGGCUAUGGUUGAUGCAGGUUAAUGGGCUGAGCAUAAUAUUUUAUGCCUUCAUCUAGCUGAUUAGCCACAACUAGAGAGGAGCCAGCACCAUAUGACUCCUUGUCCGAAACAUCCUCUCAAAGAUAUGAUGGAGAGAUGCUUAGACAAGGCCACUAUACUAUCCGGUCGACUCGGUCAGGAGGACGAUAUACAUCCUCCCAGUAUAGCUAGGCAGAGAGGUGCAUGAAGGGUAAGAAGGCAGCUGCCCAGCACACCAAAAAAGAAAAACAAAAGGCACUUCGAGCCCCAAUGGAGAGUAUGGAGGUGAAGUCGGUACACUCAUAUUUAGAGACCAGGAGCAAUAGCGAUAAGAAUUUUGGUGGUCAUGGAUUUGCUGGCUAGAGAGAGAGUGGAGGACAGGUAGCUGGUGUUUAUGAGACAACUCCAGGGUGGUUUUUGAUUUACUGAUGAGUUGCAAUUUAUGCAUACUACAUAAGAUAGAGACCACGAUGCAUAAUUUGAUAGAACCCGCGAGGAUAGAAUUAUAUAUAGGAGACAGGCUCCUAAAGAUCAUUUAGGAGGACACGAUGCAAUUGUAGAUGACCUCGCACGUGGAGUAGGAUCCAUAGAUGUAUUAGGUUUCGAGCCAUAUACUGGAUCCUAUUACCCGCAAGCACAUGCAGUCUAUGACCCAUACGGAUAUGGAUAUGGAUAUGGAUAUAGUGCGUCUGAGACAUCUUUUGGUGGCUACUACUCUACAAGUCUGGAUUAUCUUACGGGUCAGACUUUGCUAUCGGCAUAUUUAGAUGGGUCUCUCUACAACAUUAUUAUCAGCCAAAGGACACCUCCAAGAGCUAAAGCUUCAGCGAGAGAUCUGAGAGUGCUUAUAACUCGACAUAAAUUUCUUAUGGGAUGAACGUACAAAACUAUAAUGCCGCUUGGUUAUAGGGGUGGGUUGAUGUGCCUUCUGACUAUGCUGAUAAUCCGAAUAUCUAUGAGAGGCAUCACCACUCAACCUGAUUUUAGAUAUCGGUAUAUAUGUUGGACUUUAAAAGUAUGUAAUUGAUUGUAUUAUUUUUUAAUUUUUACGUCAUUACUUGAUUUGAGGAUAUUUUAUAUUGUUCAUUUUAUGAUUUGUAUCAUUUUAAAAUAAUAACAUGAAUUACUUAGGUUAAACCGAAAUUAUAGAAACAUCAAAAAAUAUCAAAAAAAUAUAAAAAAAAUAUCAAAUUAGACUUAAAUUUAUAAAAAAAAGUCGAAAAGAGCGAUUACCAAUUAAUUUUUUUUGAGAACUCCAAAAAAAAAGGUGUGUUAGUCCAUAAACUGGCAUGCCUAACUGGUUCAGUAUGGUACAGACCGGUACGGAUCCAGGUACAGAUUCAACAAACCUUAAUAUAGAUUGAUAUAGUCAACAAUGAAGCCAUCCAUGAUGCAAUCAGAAUCUUUUACUUAUUUGCAAAAAAUUCACAAUGUUAAUUCAUUAGGUUGGAGAUUUAUUGUAAAUGUAAAUUCUUAAAAAGUUUUGAAAAAUCAAGUUCAAACUUGUAUUAACCACACUAGGGAGUACACAGCUCCACAUAAUUUGAAAUUAACAUUACGUACACUAAAAACAUAUAUAUGUUAAAAUUAACAAUUGAAAUAUAUUCCGGUUAAUGGAAAUCUUUAAAGUAGUGAAUGGUACCAAAGACUAAGGUUCAAGAUUAAAAAGCCUAGCAUUAGUAUUAAAACAUAAUAUGGUACAAUUUAAGAACUGACUCCUGCUGGACAUCAUCUUUGAGAGGUCCAAAUAUUUUAAUCCAAGGUUCAUACUGGUGUGUACCACCCUAUACUAACCAGACCAUAUGAGGUUUGAAUCGAGACUCAGUAUGAGGGGUGUAGCCAUAGAAACCGUGAUACUUAUCAAAGUGGGAUUGAACUUUGAACAAUUAAGCAAUAUUCAUAGAACUGGGAUUAAAGAUGGGGUCAAGGAAUGUCAAAUUAACCUAAACCAUCUGGUUCUAGGUACACCGACCCAAACUAGUGCAGUACAAGAUCGAAAUGACUCUUUGGGUUGGUAAGAGGCCCGAACAAGCUCGAACUAAGUGGAACUACUUGGUUCUGCUCGGAUUAGAGCCUUUUGGGUUGGUUUGGCUCUUUAUUGACCUUAAUAAUAGAGAAAAGUCAUCUUAUGAAAACUUCUACUCUCUCUUGUUGAAAUCGGUACUGGGCUUUGUGAGGAAAAUUCGGGAAAGAGGGUUCUUUUGUCGAUUUUGAGCUUGAAUCCAAGCCAAAUCCGGUAUAAUCCCCUCUUUUCUUUUCAUUCUUCUCCUUUUUUUUUCAUUUUUAUGUUUAAAAUAGAUCAAAAAUUGGUAAAAUCAGGGAUAUACAUGCCGAAAUUUUGUAAAAAUUUUGGGUUCUACAUCAAUCUGAAUUAAAAUUAAUUUUUUAGGUAUAUUGUUACUUGGAGUUCAUAUAUAAGACAUGAUCCAUAGUUUGGGAUUAAACACGGUACAAAAUUAUACUAGAAAUAGAACUGGAUAAUAAGGAAACAAGAUAUAAUUAUUCGAUAUAGAAAUCCGGCUAAAAUUUGAUUCUGUCUCCAAUAUAACAUUUAUCAAAAACUUUGGUGAAAACUUUGGAAUCCCAUGAUAGAGAUUCUGAUUGUAAAUGAGGAACACAAAUUUCCCGCACAUCUGCUGGUUUCAUUAAAGCAAGAAAUCGGAUAGCUGCAAUUAGAGAGAAAUACAGCGAGGUGCAAUUAUAAGCCUAGAAGCAAGACAAUAACAAGAUUUUGGGAUGUAAUGUCCACGUAUGAUUUCAUGCUACAGAACAUGAGUUAUAUAAGAACAACAAAUGUUCAAGAUAAAAACCAUCUCAAUGAAACAAAGAGGUCCUAUAGCAUGUCAUUAUCUGUCUGUUUCUACAAUACGAUGCAUAGGUGCAUCCAGAUAAUUCUUAGCAUAACUAAUGCCAAUUUUAUCUCAAGAAAUAUCGAACAUUCCCUUUUCCAAUUGAAUCCUUUCAUUUGAGAUAUCAAAUAAUACUAUAUAACAAGGUUAUGGCAACAACUUUAAAUCAUUUAUGGGAGACAUGAAAUAAUUAUAGAUCGAAUUAGAAUAAUGAACUGUAAGCUAACAAAAUAUUGACAGUUAAAAGGAAGAUGAUUUUAAUAAGCUGGUCCUCACCAUUUGAAAAAUAGCAAAUAAUCUUAAUACUAAGAAAAAAGGUAGCCUGGAUUUUCAUUUAUAUGUGCACAAAAAUUUGAUACAUGACAAUAAAAUAAUCCUCCAUAAUUGUAAUCUUGAAGGUAAAAUUGAAUGACAAUUUUUUCCAUUUGAUAGUUUAGUUUGAGAUGAGCAUGAAUAUCAUAAUUUAAACAUCCAUAAACCAUAAGAUAAUCUUCAAAAAUAAAUAAUUAAAAAAAAAACAAAAAUACUGUUUCAGUAUUGAACUGGUACACACUUGCGUAUCAGAUGUUGGUAUGGUACGGUUCAGUACCAUACCAUACUAGUACCUAAAUAGCAUAGUAUUCAGUACCAAAACUGCGGACAUUGAACUGUUCCUCCUGCAGAAAAAAAUGAAAAAAUUGGAAAAUUCUAAUCCAUUCCCAUCUUAGAGCAAGUCAUGGUCAUGAUAUUAUGUUAUUAUAGAAGUGAAUAAGCUUUCUUUCUGAGAGGAUUUUAACAUUGUAGGUAUGAAAUGAAAUGCAAAAGUAAGACAUGAAUGAGUAUUUUAUCUUUCCGUAUUUAAAUUAGUUAUCUAUUACUCUAUUAAAACUUGCAAAUAAUGAUGUAUGAGGAACUCUAAAAUGGUGGGUUUGCAACUUACUUUGCAACUCAUGUUUUGUAUGACAGUUUUACUAUCCUUUACUUUGCAAAGGAAGGGCUAAAUGGUAGUUUCUCCCUUUUUUAUCCUGACUUGUGCAUGGAUGUAUGCAUACCUUUUCAAAAAGGAGGGAGUCAGAAAUUUCACCAGCCUUCAGGAACCGGUAUCGAUCUGGGUUUCUUUGAGUUAGAUGAACUUUCAAAGCCAUUAGAUGGAUGUUUCUUCCCACUGGUUGUCUAUGCUGAACCUUUCCCACUGCAUCUUCCCAAAAAUGAACUUGCAUGUCGGUCUACAGCUGCUGCCCAUGCUCAGAUUACUGAAGCAGUCAUAGAGAAGAAUAAUGAUGGAUCCUUCCAAGUAAAAGUUCUAAAACAAAUAUUGUGGGUCGACGGUAAACACUACGAACUGAAAGAAAUUUUUGAUGUUGGGAUUUCAGCAGAAGCAGGAUUUGAUGGUGAUGAUUCUGAAAAGGAAUGUGUUAUUUGUAUGUCUGAAUCAAGGGAUACUGCUGUUCUUCCUUGUCUGCACAUGGUGAGAAUUCAAUCAACUACAAGAUGUUAUUAUCUGUUUUAUUUUUUUACUUUUAAGUCAUUAACGAGACUGGGGAAUAUUGUAGCACUUGUUUUCUCUCUCAUGGAUAUGAUAGAACCUCAAGUCUGAUAACUUGGUUUCAUAUUCCAGUGUAUGUGUGGUGAAUGUGCAAAAGUGUUAAGGCUUCACUCAAAUAAAUGCCCUAUAUGUCGCCAACCUAUGGAAACAAUAAUGGAGAUACCAAAAAAAGACAAGGAGGAAGAAAUGCAGAAUGUUCUGAAGCAUAAAUGGUUGCGUUAACCUAUCGAUUUUUUGAGCAGCUAACGUCGUAGCUCCUGCAGUUUCCAUGUUCCUCUUAGCACGUCCUGGAACUGUACGUACAUUGUCAUAUUGGCCUGGUGUCUCUAAUCUCUACAUGUUUACAUUCGCAUUUGUAUGAGCACGUUAUGUAAAAAUGUCCAUAUUUUACUUUUUUAUUCUAUAUUUAUAGUUCCAUUGUAUUUCAGGAUUUUGAGUUUCAGUUAGAAGAGUUUAUAUAUGCAACUUAUGAACAGAAAUAUUUUUGUAUGAAUCUGUAUAGUAUUUGCAUGCGUUCAGAUUUUCAUGUGAAUAUAUUUCAAAUAAUUUUAAAUUUUUUCUUCUUCCCUUAACUUUAAUUGUUUCAUGUGACCCUGAUCAUUGCAAAUAAAAACAAACCUCUGGAGUUUUGCUACGUGCAUGUAAAUAUGUCUGCAAGUUAUAUUCUGGUUGGGAGGGAUAUGAUGUCCGGACAUGCACUACAUUCUUGGCUUACCUAGCUUGAUAAGGCAUGAACAUAACCUACUCUGAUAUCUGAUAUGCAGCCUCAACUUUUUUUGCUCUGUUAUAAUACAUAUCUUUUUCUAUUUCAACUGUAUAAUGAAUAUGUAAUCCUUCUAGAUUGCUAAUGCAUGGCAUCUACAUUAGGGAGAUUAUAUGGACUUAGUUUAUAAGAUUUCUGAAGAAAAGGUUAUCAGGUUCCACUGGAGAAACAAGCCAAAAAAGACAAAGAAAAGAAAUAAAAAAGAUAUUCAGUUAUUAAAAGGAAAAACCCAUACUCUAUAUUUAUAAAUCAAAACUCACAAACAUCACAAUUAAUUAUUUAUCACUGAAAGAUUAAUAUUCAUAAAAAGGGAAAGAAAUAAAAAAAAAAAUCUUCCCCUUCUUUUUUGAGGUAUACAUGAAAUACUUUGAGUCUAUUCGGGAAGUAUGUGCGAUGCAAGUCAGAAAUAUACGACCUUAUGGCUAUUUGACUCUAAACCAUCUUACAUCAAGUUUCAAGAUUGAAUGCCCCAAAGGUGUGUAAACAUAGACAAACAUCAUCAGAACUAAAGAGACACUCAUAGAUGUAUAAGAGACUGAGUUGAAGCAAGCCUGUGGACCAAUCCUGCAUCCAUCACUCCCACAAGUCCUCAAGUUAUCUUUAGAUCUCUAAUGAAGAAAAUAUAUGAGAUGAUACUUGGCUCACAAGGGUCGAAUGAGGUUAAGUUUUGCAAAUAAGCCAAUAAUAGAUCAAGUUGCACUCCAACAAACAUCAAUUUUAAUUAAGACAUUACCACAAUCACUCCAAGUGGAAUUUUGAGAUCAUCUUACAUUGAAGAUGUCUGAGAUCGAGUUAACUUUCCAACACAUUUUGAAUCACCUCAAUAGGAUCUCAGAUGAGAAAGUUAUGGCUAUUUUAUUGAAAACUUAUCGUGUUGAUGCACUGCUGAUGAAGUUUAACUUAAUUUGAAUCUUGUCGAGUCGAUGACAAUUUUUCUAGACUUUUAGUCACUUUUUCUUGUUCUCUUCUAGAAGCACUUGUUCACUAGUUUAUAAGUACUACAAACUCUAGAAAACUAAUAUUUAUUAUUUUUUUUAUUUUUCCAUUUAGGAAAACUACGUCGUAUAGAAAUCGAACUUCUAUGAGUUUUAAUUAGGAGCCUAUCGUUAUAAAUACUCCAACUCCUUGAUCAUUAAAAAAUUUAUAAAGCUUGUCUUUUAUUGGGUGCACGUUGGUAUUCUUUCUGCAUAGUAAAUUCCAUGCAAUCCUAGUGGAUUAUGUAGACUGAUGACGUGGCUAGUUGGUGGAGUUCUUAGAGAUAAGAACCUACUACUUAUCCCUUCCUCUAGUUUCUUUCGUAGCAUUUAGAUCCUUAGCUUUAAUUUUUUACUUCUCUUAUAUAUCUGGUUCUAGUCUUCCACAAGGUAACUUUGGAGAUUACCGCCCUAUGCUCCCAAUUACGUCAAUUUAGGAGACUUUUUUAAUCUUGAAAACAAGAUAUUUAGCUUAAAUCUUGCACAUGUAUCUCAGCAGUAUCCAACAAAAUUGAUAUCCGAUACAUGUCUGAUGUGUACAGGGCAUAAGGUUUGAAAUAUUCGUUUUUCCUAGAUCUUGAAAAAUAGUAAAAAAACAUUAAAAACUGAGAUUAAAGAUGUUCAAGAGUAUGAAGCAAUGUAGGCACACAUUGUAUCCCAUUCUUUUUGCGUAUAUACUCCACGAGUCUCUUACAUCUUCAUCAGCAAAAGAAUGCUUGUAUUCAUAUUGCCAUGUUAUAUAGAAUAAUUUUACUAGUUAUCUCUGUGCUUGAAGAGCAUGAUCAUAUCUUGUAGCGUGUCUAUGGUUCUACAAAACCAUACUUUAUUUUGAUUAGAUAUUAAAGAUGCAUGGUUGUCAUCUUUCAAAAAGCCUUGUACAACUUAUCUCAUCUUUGACCAUCAUAGAUACAGUUCCUAUACCUAUUUAACCUUCUUAGGUUGUUAUUCUCACUAUUACUCGCUUCUCCACUCAUUUUUGUCAAGCAUCGACAUAAGCAUCUUCCUGCUUAUCUUACUAAUUUCAAACAGACUUUUCCAAGUAGAGAACUGAUAAUUUGUGCAUUUCUUGUAGACUUUUCUAGCUGCAUCAUCUAAGUGAAGUAUAUAUCAAACCUUUCUAUGAUUAAUAUGCAAGCCUGUUUUCUCUUCAACUUAGAUCGGAACAUCUUAUUUUGGACCCGUGACUGUUGAUAUAAUGUAAGGGUGACUGUAAGUUAGAGAUAAAUUAAGUUGAAAAAUUAUCCAUUUCAAAGACUAGAUUAAGUUUGCAUUAUAUGUUUUCCGACCUGACCUAUUCCAAACUAAUUUCCAUGUUAAUGUAGUCUCAAAUGAGUGACUUGGCUAGCAUUAGUGCAUUCUAACUUAAAACCUCUUGAUGCUAGAAUUGCUUAUCCGUGUAUCAAUUGUCUUCUUGCCAUCUUUGGAUUUGUAGAUGGAGUAUUGAGACUAAUUUUUAUAGAAUAAACAUGCAAUUAUAGUUGAGCCAUAUUUGUGCCAAUGGUAUUAGUGGCAGCAUUUUCUGCACUUCUUAUACAUGUUAUAUUAUUUUCAUCAAAUGAACAGUGCAACUUUUUUUUUCAUAUUGCAUUAGACCUAAACUUGUGUUGGAUCGAAUAUAGACUCCAAUCUAGCAACGAAUUGGACUUGUUCCUUGUCAUAUUUCAUAAUUAGUAUAAUCUUUUGAUCCUACCCAAUUAGCAACUAUUGGGGUUCUCUUUGGUUUAUGUUCUGAAUUGAAGGGCUUUGUUCGAUCACUAGGACUUAUCUCUAAAUUCAUCAUAAAAGCAUGAUUAAAUAAGGUGAAUAAUAAUAGCAUGAACAUAUGCUUGUCAUCUCUUGCCAUGUCCAAUCAUCAACAAUUUGUAACAGCUAGCAUGGAUGGUGGAUUUUUGAACUAGAUACAAACUCAAAAAGCUAGGUUUUCAUAUAUAGAUAAUUUUAUUUUCUAUAUAAGAUAAUAUAAUCCAACAUGCCUACCGUAUGACAAGUUUUUAUAUAAUGUCCUUCAUUUGUUAUAAUGAAGUCUUAAACCUCCGCUUUUCUUACCAACAGAAUCUUUCUUUAGCAUAAAAAAUACAUUGAUAAAGCCAGUAAACACUAUGAAUGCAAGAAUAAUAUCCUAAAUUUUAAAAGAUUCUCAACAUAAUAAAAUGUUAUAUGCUUGUAUGCUCCGGUGAUGAUAUUGACAUAAAAUCGUAUUAAUGACACAAUAUAUAGAACUUGAAGAUGUCUGAGAGGCAACAAACGUAACUCCUUAUUUCUUUUCAAAAAUGUCCUAAUAUCUUUAAGAUUUUCCAAAGAAAAUAAUUAGAAUCCAAAAGAGUAGGGCCGCUCUUUAACAGCAUCUAAUUAACUUUUUCUUCAUUAUAAAUGCAUAUUUUUUAAAAAGAUCAACAUAUUACUAUAACAUUUUACUAUUUAGAUUAAAAAGUUAAAAUCUCUCAAAAUUUUGCAUUGUAAAAUGAAGGGGAAGGAAAGAAAAGAAGUCGGGAGAAGUUUCUGGAGAAGAAGAGAAGAAAAGAAAAAGGAAAGGAAAGAAAGAAAAAAAGAAAAGAAAGGAAANNNNNNNNNNNNNNNNNNNNGAAAAAAAAUGAUAAAGAGAGGGGGUGUUUACGGGUAUGAACCCGAACUCAGGGUGCUAGGCACUUCUGUAGGAUCAGCCAUGGGAGAAUAUUAAAAUUUAAGUUUUUGUAUACAUAUAUUGUGAUGGAUUUUAAAAGAAGAAUAUGAUUUUUGGAUAUUAGGUUCUGCGAGAGAUUUACGGAAUUAAUUGGAUUUAUUGUGGAUCGCGUUCGCAAGUAAGUGAUGUAACCUCUUUACUAGAUUUAUCGACAAACUAAAUAUCUAUUUUACAAAUCGAAUUAUUUGUGAUUACGAAUUUGAUGCAUGGAUUAUAUGUAUAUUUUUAGAAUAUUGUAUGACUCUGAUUGAACAUAUUUGCUUCUGGUUUGAAUUGUAUUUAAUUGCUCUUACAUUGUAUUUUUCGGCUUGAAACACUCAACAUAAUGUAAGAAAAGAUAAUGACUUAAAAUAGAUUCAGACUUGCAGUCGAGCUAUGUUGAGGACCCUGCCAAUAGAGGCUAAUACAUUGGUACUGCAAGAAGAAUAGUCGGUGAUAUGACCCUGCCACAGGGAACAUGUGGUCAUAAUUUCUGGCUGUUGAGUUGAAUCUGAUAAAUUAAAAGAAAUUGAGAUAUGAACGACAUUUGGUUUUGACACUGUAUAUUGUUUUUAUAUAACUGAAAUAUGAAAUAGAGAACAAACUGAACUUCGACCUGGCUAUGUUGAGGACCCUGCCAAUGGGGGCAGAUACGUUGGCAAUUGACUGUCCUGAAGGACUCACCGCAAAAAGAUUAGUCAGUGUUGAUGACCCUGCCACAGGGAACAUGUGGUCACAGUCCAGGAUCGACAAGAUGAAUUGAAUAUGUAAAAGAAUCUUGAAACCGCGAAAAGAAUCUUAUGAAUUCAAGAAAUAUUUGACCUAUACUUUGGAACUGCAUAUUUAUUUAUUUUCCAUAUAUUAUUGCUUGAUUUAUCUAGCUAGAGUGUUCAUUACUUACUGGGCUGUCUAGCUCAUUAUACCAUCUCUUGUUGUUUUACAGAUUUCGAGAAAUAGUCUAUUGGGGAUUCAAAUUGGGAGAGCGACUAGAAGGAUUGUGGCACAAGUUAUCUUAGAUUAGGGUUAUUUAAGUUGAUUUGUUAUUAUAGACAUUUAUUAUGAUUGGUGGACUUUUGUUAUUUUAAGAACUAGAUUUCUGUAUAUUGGUAAAUGAUUAUUCCGCUGCGUAUUUAGACUUGUGAGACCUUAUGACUUGAGUUAGUCAAUGGAAUAAGAUUGCAUUUAUUCAGUUAAAUUAUUUUAGAAUUACAUAAUUGAGGUGUUUGGUUUAGAUGCCUUGCAUGCUCGUGGGGAGAGUUUGGCUUGCGAUCUCGGGCCGGGGGCGUGACAGAAGUUAUGGAAGUCAAACUUAUCAUGAUCAAAUCUGCGAUCUAAUUUUUAGCAUAUAAAUAAGUAUCCUAUAUUCAACUAAGAUGCACCAAUUUACAGGUGUUCUAAGAAUUAAUUAAUCAUAAAUAAUGGACAUUUUUGGUGGAUUAAAGAAGCAUCAUCAAAGCAUUAUAUGUAUUCAGAUUAUACAAUGUCUAGUGCAGCCUAUGCUUGCAUGCAUUUUAUGCAUUUUCUUUUUAUUAAAUCUAUGUUUCUUCCAUGAUCAUGUAAGUUCUUUCUUCAUUUUCAUUUAAAUAAUACUAUGUUGGCAAGUUAAUCAAGGAAAUAGUAAUAUUAGGAGGAUAAUGGACUUGAGGAUAAUCAACCCAUUUUUAUUAUUUCAUACUAAUAACAACAAAGCAAGUAUAAUGCACAUUUAAGUUAGAAAUUUUUUUAAAAAAGUUAAUUAUAUAAAUUUUAGAAAAUUGUUGUUAUUUGCAUGAAAAUGAUAUGUUUGAAUGGAUUGUUUUAAAAGAGGGACUUCAAAAGUUAUGUAUGGAGAUGAAAAAUUAUAAGCUAUCAAUCUAAAAUUUGAAAUUUAAAUAUUUAUCAUUCUAGAAUUGUCUAAUUGGUUUGUGAAUUAAAAUAAGAAAUGAAGAUAGAGGAAAAGGAGCUAAUAUGCUACACUAUUUAUUUUCUGAGAAAAGUAAGGUAUUUGUUAAUUGGCUGGAUAUCCAUCUAUGAUACGAUAGUAGCUCUGAAAGAAAAUAAAUGCAUUAUUAUUGGAAAAGUUGAUAGACGAGAUUCAAAUGGAAUCCUAGAAUCCUAUGUUUGUUAUUCUAUUCUUCUUUCAUUCUUCAUGGUUUAUUUUUUGGAAAUUUUUUUCAUCUAUAUUCAACCACCUACUAUCCCCAACAGAUUUCCAAGAAAGGCUUUGAUGUAAACGAAAGCACAAGUCUUGAAAUUUUGCAUCUCCUUAGUCCUUAACUUGAAGCUUGCUAGCACCAAGAUAAAGAUAUUGUUAAUCUUUCGAGGACGGACUUGAGUUGUUAAUUGUAAUAACCUUGUCUUUCUUUAUGAUCACCUUAACUAGAACAUUUUAAGUUCUCAUCUCCAACGAGUAUCGUGCACAGUCUACCUUCUGUCUUGUUUUUGACAUCCAUAUAUACUUUAGUAGCAAGUUAAAAAAAAAGCCAAUUUUGAUCAUUUUCUCUUAUCUAAUGAGAGGUAGAGUUGCUAGUGAUCAGUAUGUGACUAAUUUUAGGCCAAAUGCAAGUUAGAAAUGAGCAAAAUGGUGGGAUGAGCCCACCCACAUUUCUUUGAUUAAUAAAAUGAAGGUGAAAUACAAAUCAGAAGAUAUUAAGAGGCACAAUAGCUUGAAUUUUGAAGAAUGCAACCAGGGGUUUUGUAGAUAAUUGAAGGCCAAUUAUCACUUAAUAUAAGCUCCUAGACUGAAUUAUGAAUGCUCGGUUGUCAAUUCUUGUAACUACGUAUUUGUAAUCAAUUCAAACUUCAACUUUAGUACUUAGAAUGCUUAGGGAGACCAGUGUUCUAGCGAUCAAUGCUCACCCUUAUUUUGUUUGUUGGUUUUCUAGCCAUCAUCAAUUGGGAAAUGGUAUGUGGUGCCCGUCACAUGCACACAAAAGGUGACUUGUGCUCAAUUUUGCUUGCUUGGCAACUUCAUAUUCACUAUUUCCAUGUAUUACACUGAACCCUAGAUUUAUACCAAUACUUUUACGCCGACUGGCAGAAAAACUUAAUUGUGCACAAAUAGGAUCCCUGUGGUAAUACUCUCUUAAAUUAUAUGAUCAACUUUUUUAGUUUUAAGGUUGAUUAAUAUCAUUAAACAAAUCCUUAUUUUUUUUCUUCCUACUUUCAUUAUAACAUUUUAAAUUCGCAUCUCAAACAAGCAUGACAAUUCCUUAGCAAAAAAAAAAAAAAACAAGCACGACAAAGAGAGAGAGAGAGAGAGAGAGAGAGAGAGAGAGNNNNNNNNNNNNNNNNNNNNGAAGAGAGAGAGAGAGAGAGAGAGAGAGAGAAUCUACAUGUCAUGGUUUAAAAUAUGGAAAUAAUUUUUUCCAUAUGUAAAGAUAAAGCUGCAUAUAUUUGACCUUCUUUAGACCUUAUAGUGGUAAGAGACUCGUGCAUUAGGUUGCCCUUUCAAGAGUAGACCUUCUUAUAAUAAUAAAAUUGCUCCAUUAUAAUCUAAAUAAGGCGGGUUCAAAACAUAGAAACAAUAUCUCCACAUGUGAGGCAAUGUUGCAUAUAUCUAAUCUUCCUUAAAUCUUGUAGUUGUGGGAGCCUCAUGUAUUGCUCUAUCCCUUUUUACUUGUAACAUAGUUGUUUAACCAUUAUAAUAUGCUUUUAUUCCAUUAAUAAUAUAAAAAUAAAUAACAAUUAUUAUUUUGAUUUUGACAAAUAUCAUAACAAAUGUAACUGAUUUUUUUUUAAUGUUCUUGAUGAAAAUAAAAACUACAUUCAUAUAUAAUCUAUUUUUGACCAAUCCUUGUGGCGUAGAUGUGAUCAACUUAAACCUAAUCUAACUGACUAUAAACUGGACACUAAAGGCCAUGCAUAUCGAGUUUGGUUUGGGUUUGCACACUAAUAUAGUAGGCUAAAUCCAACUUGUCAAAGUUCCACCUUCUUUUAGGACUCCUUUGUUUUGCAGGAAGAAGAAGAAAAAGUAUGGUCAACGAAAAAAUAAAGAAAUACCUCAUAUUUUAUUGAAUUUUUAAAAGAGAAAGAUGGAAAUGUGGCUUUUCUAUGAGAAUAAGAUUUUUUUAUUAAAUGAGAAAACAAAAUUCAUAUGGAACAUGAGAAAGUUACUUUCUCACGGGUUAAAAAUUAAUGUAUUUUUUUUUUUCAAAAGUACCAUUAAGCUUUUAGAUGGAAUGGAUAAAAUCUUUCAUUGAAAAUUAGUGUAAUUUUCUUUUCAAAAGUACCUUAAGAUUUUAGAUAAAAUGGAUAAUUUUUUCUCUAUUAAAGGUACAACAGGCAUUUUACACAACUUUUUCAAAAAAAUAAAUGCUCAACCAAAUAUAAGCCACGAUGAAAGAUACCGCAUUUUUAUGAUCAAUCAAAUAUACAAUAAUCAUCAUUUUUUCAAAAAGAAAAAAAUCUAGUAUGAAAAUUUCUUUUUAUAGACCAAAUAAAUUCUUGGUUAAAUGGGAAUGAGCACAAAAAUUGAUGGUAUGUAUUGGUUGAGGUUUAGUAGAUACCAUAAACUAUAUGGUACGUACACAGGGGCAGUGCAUUCAUUUUUAUCUUGUGAAUACUCCUUUGGCCAUCCUUCUUUCUAUUAGUUGCAAUGAAUACUUACCAAGUUGGAGGGUAGGACAAUCAAGUGUAAUUGUUGAAAGAAUUUGGGAGAGAGGCCAGCAAAAUUGGUGAACAGCCAUGUGUGUAUAUUCCCUAUUUUAUAGAUACAUGAGGUUCAGGAGGUUGCAACGUAAUACAGGAGGUUCAGGAGGUUGCAAUGUAAAAGAUCAGAAGAGAAUACAGAAGGUUCAACAUAAAAGAAACAAUUACAUCAUCCUUAUCUCUUGGCAUUAUAUCGUUAUCAUGUGCAAUUCUGUUCCUUAUCCAAAGGAAACGAUAUGAAUUGUUGUUUAAAGAUGAUGUAAGUUAAGCCCCCCCCCCCCUCUCGGAAAUCAAUGGGGAGGUCACAAACCAUAAGUUUGUCCCUCAAGAAUAGAAACCGAGAGAAAGUUAAGCCCUUCGUAAAGACAUCUGCGACUUGAUCCACAAUAGAGACAUAAUGAAUGCACACAUCUCCGUUAAUCAUCUUUUCUCGAAUAAAAUGGAAGUCAACCUCUAUAUGUUUAGUGUGAGCAUGAUAAACCGGGUUUGCAGCCAGUGCAAUUGUACCCUGAUUAUGGCACCAAACUGUAGGAGGGAAAAAAAGAGGUACACGAAGAUCCUUAAGCAAUUUCUAGAAUAUUGGCCUUUAAGAUUUUUAAAAUCUGCCAUAGGUUUCACCCUCUAUGUUGUAAUAGUUGAACACAAUUGGAUCAUUAAAAUCACUAAAUUGCCAAUAAUACAAUAGUAAACAAAGGCCAUUCCAUUCUAAGAAAAAAAAAAGACUAGGAAACUAUUCCUGUUUUGGCCAGAAGGAGACAUUCUUAAUUUAUUUCAACAGAUAAUGCUUAAUUAUCAUCACUCAGAAAAUAAAACAUCACUAUAAACUUCUUACAACUAUCACAAUAGGUCUAUGUGAUAAGAUCGAUUACAACUUUUGACUUGAUUUCAUAAUAUUAAGCAAUUCUGUAGUUAUCAUACAUAUAGACCAUCACUUUGCAACUAAAACACAUACAUUUUUUUUUCAGUAUGUAAUAUCCUGAUAGAAGCUUUGUUGGACUUCAAGAGCUAAUUCCUCCACACUAAGUUGGCAGUCAAAUCCAAUCUGCAAAUACAAUAAGUAAAAAACAAAUUACAACUUGUAAUAAGAUUUAAAACCUGCUAGAUCUCUCAGCUGAAAAAUUAAAUGUCUUUUGACCUCUUAAUUUGCUUCUAAACUUGUGUCUGGUCUAGAAAGAAGGAAUUUGUUUGCCAUUUGACGAAAUCGAAUCAUUAUCUCAAAAAUAUAUUCUAUGUAAUAGUAUUUCGUUUUGUGUAUUAGUUUUUGUAGGAAGAUAUACUGCAGUGUAGCUAAAGCGAGUCAGUUUAUGAGGCAAAAUGUGCUUUCUUUCUCCCAAGCAUAUCUUUUUUCUUCCUUGGCAACAAAAUAUGGUGGUAUUCUACACUAUAUGUGUAUAUACGUAUGUUAGAUCAAAGUAUAAUUUUUCUUUUACUUUUUUAAACAUGAUGAUAUUUUUUGAUUGAAUAAAAGAUAUGAUGUUCAUUUGUGAGUUUAUCAAAGCAUGUGAAGACAUAAACUUAACUCUCAAACAACAGAUCGAUUAAAAAGUCUAAUGGAGAUUGCAUACCUUUAUGACAAAGGAGUAGAGUACAGUGUCUUCCAUGCUGCUUAUGUUGAGAUGAAGGAUUUCAAAGGCCAAUUUCUCUAGCACAGUUAUUAUCUUGAUAACUUGGCCAGGGAUGCGCUUGGAAAGGGUUCGCAAGAGGACAUUUGAACCUGAUAUUUUUGCCUCUACAUCUGCAACUGGUGAGUUACAACAUGCCCCAAGUUCCUUUACGAUGUCCGAGUCAUAAGUAUUGUUCGAGGUUGGUGAUGGAGUUACUUGCAGUAAUGGCCUUGGGCUAGGAGUUGGACUAGGGCUUAAGCUCUUCCUCCUUUUCUUGGCCUCCAAUGACUGUAGAACUUGGUGCAACUCUUUGAUGAAUUCUAUGGCUCCUCCAAUAAUAGAUGCUUGGUCUCCCUUUUUUUGAUCAAUAACAAAUAAAAAAUAAUCAAUAUAAGCCAUUGUCAUCUUGUCGAAAAUGAGUCCUAUUUUCUCCGGUCGGUGAAGAAGAUGAUGUCCUUUUGGAAGAGUUUGAAGCCCCUCCUUAAGAAGAAAGACAUUCUAACCCUCAAAAUGGAACAUGAUAGGGUAAACUUAACCUCACUGGGCAUGCAUCUCUCUUCCUAUUGUUAAGUCAAUCAUUGACGAUUUUAUUCGCCUUCGAAGAGAAAAUCUAGUAAUUCAAAAAACAUAAUUCAUUCAUGGAUUAAUCUUCUCCCAGGACAAAGAUAUUUUAGUCAUCUGAAAAUUAUUUGGGAAUCAUUAGGAAUGUAUUCCUUGUCACUUUCGGUGAAGACACAUUAUUUUCCUUCCUCCAUUUUCUCAUGUAACUUCCAAUACAUCCCCUCCAAGUCCUUUUUCAUGCUACUACAGAUUACUAAAAUGCAGUUAGUUGCAUAGUGUCUCAACAAACUAAAAUAGGAAUUAGUAGGACAUCAGAAUAAAAAAAGCUCAAGGACCACAUAUAGGAGCAUCAGAGAGCUCAACUAACUUUUUGCAUCAUGAAGUCAUUUAUCACUUGUAUAUUUCACUCUUGACGACAAAAAUGUGAUGCUAAAAACCUCAUUAAUUCGAGAUUAAAUUGCCUCCUCUCUUUAAUGCAGUAAGAAAUAUGAUAGCCAGCACCGACUUCAUCUAUCUUCCCCCUUCUCCCCUCAAUCAAAUGGAAUGCAACCUAAGCUAUAUUGCACCACAAUAUUUCCCAUAGGUUAUAACGUUUUGAUUCAUAAAUCCAAAUCACCUACAUCAUAGCUUGCAUGGAUCAGAAAUGAUACAUAACUUAUGAGCAUGGACUAUUUAUUACAUACCCUUUUGAUGUAAAAGCUUGGCGUCAACGAUCGCAGCACCUUGAGAUGUUCAUUCAUUUGCCUUCUCCUGUUCCUCUCCACAGCAAUAUGAGACAUGUUUUUGUGCCUCUUGGGCUCACACAAAAAGCUAGAAUUCGUCUGCCGGCCUCCUUUCUCUUCCUCAGCCUUUCCUCACAUAUAAAUAUGCACACGCAUGCAGACUUGGAAGAUGUAUAGAAUGUUACCAUGGCUGCUCUUUACGUGCUCUCAUUUAAUGGUUGGUCUGCUCCCCCCCGUGAGCUGCAGCUUCUCUCUCNNNNNNNNNNNNNNNNNNNNNNNNNNNNNNNNNNNNNNNNNNNNNNNNNNNUCUUCUCUCUCUCUCUCUCUCUCUCUCUCUCUCUCUCUCUGUGUCUCUGUGUGUGUGUGUGUGUGUGGGUGGGGGGGGGGGGGUGUGGUGGGGCUGCAAACGGGGAGGCUUCUUUGGCUACCAUCUCUUUGUCACAUACUUUGGCCCGUCCUAUUGAUAACAAGGGAGGAAGGAAACGUUUGUAGUUUUAUGACAAGGCAAGACUUUUGGCUCCUAACCUAAACUUCAUGCCUAACUGCAUUGAUUACACAUUCACCUUCUCACGGGUCUGCACCAGCCUUAACAUACUACGAGCUUGAGUCCUUCCCCAAGUCAUGGGAAGCCUGGUGGGAUGCUUAAGAUUUAGAAGUGUCUUGCUCAGAUUUAAGAAAGCGGCUUGACUCUGCCGGCAAGCAAGCACGUAUACAAGAUAACUUGCUUCAAAUCCAAUUGGUUGCGAUCUCUCUUCUAAUGACUUCUUCUUGAGAGUGAUCCAACAUCCAAACUCUGGUAGUGGCAUAUUAUCACAACUUUAUUUUUCUCUUAAAAUUAGUUAGAAAGUUCGAGGCCUUUUGGCAUAGAGGAGUGUAUUAUCUAACUUAUAAAGUAACAACUUAUUAAAAAGGUGAUAUACAGUACAAAUAAGAAUUACAUGUAUUUUUUAGAACAAUGUACUGUAGCUGGUUGUCGAAAUUGGAUUUAACAAGCAAGGAAAUUACUAAAAAAAAUUAAGGCAACUGUACCCUAGGAAAAUGAACAGAAAAGUUACAAGCAAGGAAAUUAAAAAUCUACAACCAUUAUAUUCCACCAUAAUAAGAUCUGUUAGUCCUGUUAGCUAUUUAGGAUUUGAUCCAUGUAGUAAAUAGUAAUCUAUGAAAAUCAAGCAAUCAAUGUUUUUUUUUUUUUGGUAAAAUAUAGGAGGGGAGGGGGAGGGGCAGAACCCCACCCGCGUAGUAGCUCCCACUGGGCCCCCUUCCACCAGGAAAUGUUCGAUGCGGGUAGCAAAUUUCCGCAUGCCCUCCCUAACACGUGAAAAACCCCACUGGGCUAUCUACGUGUGACCACGUCACCCUAGUGCCACCUCAGUACUGAUGGAAGAAAAGCAUAUUCACACAGAGUCAUCCGGGCGUGGGGCAUGCGGUCUCCUGAUUUAAUCGAUGCCCGCGCAUUUCGAACCCAGACAACUCGGGUGGAGUCCAAGCCCCCUUAUCACCAGGCUAUCACCUUGGUAGCCAAACAAUCAAUGUUCAACCAACAAGCAAGAUCACGACAAAGUUUUUAUAUAUAUUGAAUUGCUGUGACAUGUGUUGUCUCAAGCAAGCUCUAUCCGUCCUGGUGUUAAAGCAAGUCAAACAAUUUCACUUUGAUCGGCCAGAAUACUUUUUGAGCAUCUAUGCGUGAUUACCAUAUGAUAGGUGUUUGUUGAGGCCCAACAAUUGUGGGUUUUUUUGCUAUCACUAAAAAUCUGCCAUUAUUGUUAAGCUAGCCCAUCAUAUUCUUUCCAAUAUAAUUAAUUCAGGAGGAUCCGCAGACUCGAUGUGGACUACUUUAGCCACUACGAGCAAAAGCUGGAUCAGGUCUAGAAGUGAGAUCAGCCACAUCGGGAAGCCGAGUCACAGGUCAAACUUCCGAAAGCCGUAACUUGUUAUAUGACGUCCUAUUUACAUGAUCUUUUUUUUUUUGAUUCGGAUAGUUUUCAAGCUCUAAAAUAUGACGCCAUGCCCUUUAGGGGGCAGCGCCUCCAGCGAUUAAGCCAAAAUUCUAUUGUUUGGGGUCUAAAAUGUACCGGUCAAAUCAGAAUUUUAUUUUUUGGGUAAGAUUUUGACCGGUUGUAUCUCUUCAUCCGAGGAUAAUUAGACAUGGCGAUAAAAGGCAGAGUUGAUGUAGAAGUUGAAAUUUAUCUCUUUAAAAUUUUAGUUUUUUCUAGAAUAUUUCUACUAGUAAUAUAUACUUUAAGAUCGAGUGUCCUAUUAAAACUAGAAAAAAGAAUCGGAUCCAAAUUAUAUAAGGGUGAACCUCACUAUUAUAAAUAAAGACUAUGUAACUUAGUUUUCAAUGAAAAAAAAGGAGACUUAAAUACUACUUUCGCAAUUUUUCUUUCUUCUUCUAGUUGUUUUUGAGAGAUUUGAGUUAAGCAGAUUGAAGAAAAUUUUCUUUUCCCCAAUUGGAUCAAUAAUAGAGAUCAUGUUGGAAUUGAAUGGAAUUUUUCUGUGCCAAAUUAUAUGCUCUGUGGUGUAAGCCAUUCUUGAGUAACGGGAUACAAUCAUCUACAUCCAUGCCUAGUUAUGAUAUGAGCUGGUUUGGAAGGUGUUAGAAUAAGUGGCUCAUAUUAAAUGGUAUUCUUAUUUGAGUGGUACACUGGUAUUCUAACGGAGCGGAGCGAAGCGACAAGAUAUAUUUAUCUUUGGGAUAAUUAUGUAAUAUUUUAUUUUACUAGGGUGCUGAUAGGGAUUGGGACUCUAGGGUUAGGGUUUAGCUAUAAAUAUCUUGUAACCCUUGUUAUUUGGUGACAGAAGAAAAGUUACGGCCGUUUCGCUCCCAUGGACGUAGGCACAUUGCCGAACCACGUAAAUACCUGUGUUCAAUUUCUUCUUCCUCUUUCUCUCUUAACUCUGUGCAUUGUUCUGUUCGCCGUUUGGAUCCUGUAUUUUUCCGCAACAAUUGGUAUCAGAGCCUCAGGUGAUAUUUCCUGCGGCCGUGGGCGGUGUUCUUCCCGUGGGGAGAAUAGAGGCGUCUUCUCCCAAGCCGAGAAAACGCAAAGAAAUUUUCCUCCCGUGGGUGGUCUUUUCCGUGCCAGGUUGGUUUCACAGGAGGGGUUGCUUCUUGAAGGCCGUGAAGAGAGGGAAAGGGGAGAUCAGCCGUGGAAUGGUUUCACGGGAGGGGUUGCUUCUUGAAGGCCGUGAAGAGAGGGAAAGGGGAGAUCAGCCGCGGAAGGUUUUGCUUCAACGUGAAGGUAGGAGAUUUUCCUUUCACGUCGGAGGGGUUUUUUGAGGGUUUUGUGUCCUCUCUCCCAAGCACAGGGAAUACAAUUCUUCACGUGGGCGUUCCUGCUUCACGUGGAAGGGGGGCUCGUGGGUUUCUUCUUCCCAACCGAAACCCCAUUGUUCUCUGGUUCGUCGUGGCUCCCGUGGAGAAAAGAAAACCCCAUCGCAGAGAGCAUCUUUCCCCGAGCACGCCGUCAACCCCGCAGCCUCCUUCCCGUCGUGCUCUUCAACGGAAAGCAGGAGAUCAAGGAGGAGAGGAGCGCUGUCCGAGCAAGGAAGCCCAAACCCCCAUCGUCGACCGACGCAAGCGAGGAGAGGAAGAACUUCCCGUCAUCCGCGCGCCACCACCGCCGUCCGUGGCGGGAUCCAGUGGAGGAAGAGGCCAUCGCUAGCGCUCCGCCCGCCGGUCCUCUCAUCGCGAGGAGGGGGGUUCUGCCGUCGCUAGCGUGCGUUCUGACCUAGGAGAAGAGAGGUGUUUUUGGUAUUUUAAUUUUUCAACAGAUCCUAUUUUUCUCUAUUUUAUUUUGCAAAAAGAUAAGAUUGUAGGGAUGUCUUCUGCAAAGUUUGAUGUGAUAAAGUUCGAUGGAACUGAAAAUUUCGGGCUAUGGCAGAGGAGGGUGAAGGAUCUGUUAGUAUCACAGGGUAUGGUGAAGGCCCUGUAUGGAAAGAAACCAGAUGACAUGGGUAAUGCAGAGUGGAAUGAAUUGGAGGCUAAGGCUAUUUCAAAUAUACGACUUUGUCUGGCUGAUGAUGUAAUGUAUCAUGUCAUGGACGAGGAAUCGCCGACGACAAUUUGGUCAAAGUUGGAGAGUCGGUAUAUGUCCAAGUCGUUGACGAACAAGCUCUAUCUUAAGCAGAAACUGUACGGUCUUAAGAUGAUAGAGGGUGCUGAUUUAAGCCAACAUAUCAACAUGUUCAAUCAGAUUAUCAGUGAUUUGCAGCGAGUUGAUGUGAAGUUUGAAGACGAAGACAAAGCGUUGAUGUUAUUGCAUUCUUUACCUGCUUCUCCUACGUACGAAAAUUUGGUUACAACUCUGACGUGGGGAAAGGAGACCCUAGAGUUAGAGGACGUCAUUGGAGCCUUGUUAGGUUUUCAUCAGAGGAAGAAAGCCAGUGCUGAGAGUUCUCAAGGAGAAGGCUUAGUGGUGAAGGGUAACCAGGAGCGUGGAAGAAGCAACACAAAGAAUGGAUCAAAUCGCAGUAAAUCUCGGUCUAAAUCUAGAAAAAAGAAGAGCAUAACGUGCUACAAGUGUGGAAAACAAGGUCACAUAAAGCGAAAUUGUCCUGAGAAAAAGAAGGGUAAAGAUGAUGACAGAUCUGAAGGGUCCAAGUCUGCAAAUAUAGUGAAAGAAGACACAGAGAGCAGUGAUGGUGAUAUACUUUCAGUUUCGUCCAGUUCAGAUCAUCUCGCGGAUUCUUGGAUUAUGGAUUCAGCAUGUUCCUAUCACAUGACACCCGAUAAAGAUUGGUUUGACACCUACAGGUUAGUUAAUUCUGGUUCUGUUUUGAUGGGUAAUAAUGCAUCUUGCAAAGUCAUUGGAAUAGGUAAUAUCAGAAUUACUAUGUUUGAUGGUGUGGUUAGAACGUUGUGUGAUGUUAGACAUGUUCCAGAUUUGAGAAAGAAUCUAAUUUCAUUGGGUACCUUAGACUCUAACGGGUUUUGUUACAAGUCUCAAGGUGGAGUAAUGAUGAUUAGUAGAGGUGCUAUGAUAGUGAUGAAGGGGCAGAAAGUAGUAGGGAACAUCUACAGGUUGAUAGGAACUACUGUUGUAGGUGGAGUUGCUGCUGUAGAGUCUGAGUCUGAUAAUACAGUCUUGUGGCAUAUGCGUUUGGGUCAUAUGAGUGAACGUGGUAUGCUGAAACUGUAUAAAAGAAAUUUUCUGAAGGGUAUUAAAACUUGCAAAUUGGAUUUCUGCAAGUAUUGUGUUCUUGAAAAACAGAACAAGGUUCAAUUCAGGACUGCCACGCACAAGACAGAGGGUAUUCUUGACUAUGUUCAUACAGAUGUUUGGGGACCAGUCAGAGUAGCAUCACGGGGUGGACAUACAUAUUUCGUAACUUUUAUUGAUGAUUUCUCGAGAAAGGUCUGGGUAUAAUUCAUGCAGCACAAGUCAGAAACGUUUGUCAAGUUCAAGUUGUGAAAAGCUAAAGUAGAGAAUCAGACAGGGAGAAAGAUCAAAUGCCUCAGGUCAGACAAUGGGACUGAGUAUACAGAUUCAAAGUUCAUUGAGUUUUGUGAGCAGCAUGGGAUUAAGAGACACUUCACAGUACGCAAGACAUCUCAGCAGAACGGUGUGGCGGAAAGGAUGAACAGGACUAUAGCUGAAAGAGCACGGUGUCUCAGGUUAAAUGCAGGGCUUGCAAAGAACUUCUGGGCAGAGGUAGUAAAUAUGGCAUGCUUCUUGAUUAACAGGUCACCGAGGGCAGCACUAGAUGGUAAGAUUGCAGAGGAGGUAUGGACAGGUAAUGAGGUAGACUACUCCGAUUUGAGAGUAUUUGGAUGUCCUGCCUAUGUGCAUAUUCCUAAUAAGGAGAGGUCAAAGCUAGACCCGAAGUCUAGAUAGUGUAUCUUUCUAGGGUAUCAGAAAGGGGUGAAAGGGUACAAGCUUUGGGAUUCGAAGGCAAACAAGGUGGUGAUCAGCAGAGAUGUAGUUUUUGAUGAGAAAAUCAUGUUGAAAAGUACUCAAGAAGAAGAGAAGUAGAUGCCAGAAAGUUGCAGCAGCAAUAAGCAGGUGGUGCAGGUGGAGUUAGAGAGUUAUGUCAAGAAGAAUAAUGUUCAGGGUACAGAGACUUCUACCUCAGCCGAUCAAGAGCAACAUAAUAUAACCACAGACAGACCCAAGCGUACUAUCAAGCCACCAACUAGGUAUGGUUUUGAAGAUUUGGUUUCCUAUGCAUUAAUCACUAGCAGUGGAAAUCCUACUACUUUUCAGGAGGCAGUACACAGCCNNNNNNNNNNNNNNNNNNNNNNNNNNNNNNNNNNNNNNNNNNNNNNNNNNNNNNNNNNNNNNNNNNCACGUCUGGUAGCAAAGGGAUACUCACAGAGAGCUGGGAUUGACUAUGAUGAGAUUUUCUCCCCAGUGGUCAGACACACUUUCAUCAGGAUAGUGUUGGCAUUGGUAGCACAUUACGAUAUGGAGUUAGAGCAGAUGGAUGCAAAGACAGCUUUUCUUCAUGGUGAGUUGGAGGAGCAGAUUUAAUUGCAGCAGCCAGAAGGGUUUUCAGAACCUGGACAGGAGCACUUAGUCUGUAAAUUGAAGAAGUCACUUUAUGGGCUAAAGCAGUCUCCGAGGCAGUGGUACAAGCAUUUUGACUCUUACAUGAUUCGGAUUGGCUACAGAAGAUGUGAGUAUGACUGUUGUGUUUAUAUGAGGAGCCUUGAUGAUGGUUCUUUUAUUUUUCUGUUACUUUAUGUGGAUGAUAUGUUGAUUGCUGCAAAGAGUAUGAAUGAAGUCAACAAGUUGAAGACUUUGUUGAGUAGAGAGUUUGACAUGAAAGAUUUGGGCGCGGUCAAGAAGAUUCUUGGGAUGGAGAUUCGCAGGGACAGAGAUUCAAGAAAAUUGUGGUUAUCUCAGGAUAGUUAUAUACAAAAGGCGUUGGAGAGGUUCAGCAUGGGUAAUGCGAAGCCAGUGAGCACACCUUUAGCGAAUCAUUUCAGAUUGUCUACCUCACAGUGCCCAAAGACAGAGAAAGAAAUUGAAGACAUGUCAAAGGUUCCAUAUGCUAGUGCAGUGGGGUGUCUGAUGUAUGCUAUGGUUUGUACCAGGCCGGAUUUGGCGCAUGCAGUUAGUGCAGUAAGCAUGUUUAUGGCGAAUCUAGGGAGACAGCAUUGGGAUGCAGUCAAGUGGAUUUUCAGAUACUUGAGGAGUACUACAGACCAUGGUAUCAUGUUUGUCAGACAGCAGGAUGAUCCUUCAGUCGUGGGGUAUGUUGAUGCAGAUUAUGCAGGAGACUUGGAUGACAGGAGGUCGACUACAGGCUAUGUAUUCACUCUUGUAGGAGGGCCUAUCAGUUGGAGGUCCAUGGUACAGUCUCUAGUUGCACUAUCUACGACUGAGUCAGAGUAUAUGGCAGUGGUUGAGGCUGCCAAGGAAGCAUUGUGGUUAACGGGAUUAGUCAAGGAGCUGGGUGUUCAGCAAGGUGGAGUUCAGUUGCAUUGUGACAGUCAGAGUGCGAUCUAUUUGGUGAAGAACCAGGUGUAUCAUGCGAGAACCAAGCACAUAGAUGUGAGGUAUCACAAGAUCAGGAAGUUGGUUUCUUUCGGUGACAUAUUGCUUGAGAAAGUUCAUACUUCUGAAAAUGGAGCAGAUAUGUUGACAAAACCCGUUACUGCAGACAAGUUCAAGCAUUGCUUGGACUUGGUUAACAUCUCUAGGUGCUAGAGAGGAUGCGUUCCAACCUAUCAACGUCAGGUGGUAUCCCAGGUUAUUUUUUCUCCUAAGGGGUGAAUAUUCGCCAAGGUGGAGAUUGUUAGAAUAAGUGGCUCAUAUUAAGUGGUAUUCUUAUUUGAGUGGUACACUGGUAUUCUAACGGAGCAGAGCGAAGCGACGAGAUAUAUUUAUCUUUGGGAUAUUUAUGUAAUAUUUUAUUUUACCAGGUUGUUGAUAGGGAUUGGGACUCUAGGGUUAGGGUUUAGCUAUAAAUAUCUUGUAACCCUUGUUAUUUGGUGACAGAAGAAAAGUUACGGCCGUUUCGCUCCCGUGGACGUAGUCAUAUUGCCGAACCACGUAAAUCCCUGUGUUCAAUUUCUUCUUCCUCUUCCUCUCUUAACUCUGUGCAUUGUUCUGUUCGCUGUUUGGAUCCUGUAUUUUCCGCAACAGAAGGCAAGGUUUGAUGUUCUGCUGCAGUUGCCAAGUAUUGUCGUUAAUCUAAUAGUACAAUCAAAACCUCCAAAACCCCUUAAAUGACCCUAAACUAUAACUAAAUAGCAAAAGUAAUAGUAAUAGUAAUGAUACUAAAAGAAAUGAGGUCAAGACUUAAAAAAUGCAGAAGCAUUACAGGUAGAUGUAUAAGUUAAUCCACCCUCACUUCUCGCCACCUACUAAACAAACAAAUUCCUGAAUUAUAUGUCGUAAUACAUUGGCAUGCCCUCCAUUGGUAAAAUAUAAUCACGAGAAAGUCUAUCUUGGUUGCACCAAUAGUUUGGAUAUAUCCAUUAUGUUCAUUGGAACAGGCAACUAUAACUCUUUAUUACUGGAUGCAUGGAAUGUGACAUGAAGACCAGAGGCAAAUGCUUAAGACUACCUCUAGAAGGUAGGGAACUCAACUCGUGAAGAACACUUGCUUUUUGGAUAUACUGGGCAAUCAAUGAGCUCUGUCCCUGAGGUAUCCACACACAUGUAAAUCUGGUAUAAUUGCCUAUUACCCGAUUCGUCCACAUUACACUCGAUACCUGGAGUAAAACCAAUUGCUUCUCGGAUUGCUUUGCUGAUGUUAUUCAACUUGUAGUACCCACCAUCUGGUACGAUUCCUGAAGCAUUUGCAUGAAACGUCAAGCGUAAGAAGAGGUGGCCAUGCAUGAUGCUUCCUUCAUAUUGGAGAACAAAAGAAAGCAAGGAAGUUUGUCCGCCAUCUACCUGCAUCUUGUAGGAUUUGAAGGAGGUUCGCUUGCUUCUUGAGGUUGAGAGCUGCUUCGAAGUAUGAGUGUUGAUCGAGAAUGGAUUCGGAGCAGGUGCCGUGCUUCUCCCAUUCAUGCGCCCAAAACUUGGAGCCAUCACCACUUGGACAUGCCAAGGUUGGCCAGUCUGCUCUCAUUCUGCCUAUCAGGUCCUUAAUCUGCAUAAAAUGUAGGAAGAAAUAAAACUGUUCCUUGUAAAAGCAAGAUUUGGGUUGUCUGUAAACACAAAUAUUGUAUUCAAGCUGAUUUUUAGCAGGCUUCUAAUAUUUUCUGUAUGUUAGGGCUAUGCACUCCACUUUUAUUUCCUAAGUAGAGUUUGGGACUGAGCAAAAUAAGAUGAUCAAACUUCAUUUUUAGAAGUGAUCUAUUUUUAUAUUUGUCUGGAUAAAUAGGAACUGAAUUUGACUCAUAUCUUCGUGGAUGUUAGACUUUGAUAUAAAUAUUUACCAUAAGGCAUGGCUUUGCAUCUCCACAAGUUAAUAUAAUCAUCAAGUUCGUUAAAUAAAUUUUAUCCUCUUCCAUUUUAUUGAAAUAAAUAUUGAUUAAGAAAUUUUCAUUUUAUUUUUUUAUUUCUGAGAAUAAUGAUGGGAGAACCACCUCUUAAAAUUAUCCAGAUCAAGCAUUUAGAAAAUAAUAUCGUGAAUUUUUGGAACCAAAAACUUCUCCUUCGCAAGGCGGAUGCAACCACUAGGCUAUAUUCCAUUUUACAAGCAUGUUGUGAAAUCACUAGGCUAUAUAAAAAGCUUCUCAUGCAACCAGUAUUCCAUUGUUGUCUGUAUUUUAUUUCCUGUUUAUGCUCGAUCUCCUCUUGAUUAGAUUUAUGCUGUCCUUAAUUUCAUAUAUAUAACUACACCCCAAGAUGUGUCCAUGAUAAUUGUUUUAGAUAAAAAUUAAUAUUUCAUGUGUAAAUAAAAUAAUUAGACUUAUAAUUAUUGAAAAAGUUGAAAAAGAGUGAUAACUAAUUACAAGUUUUUGAAAACUCAAAAAAUAAAAAAUUGGAUGUGCCAGUAUGAAACCGGCACAUCUUACCCAUACCGAUUAUGCUUCCGAGCUGUACCGAGCAUUGACUAGUACAGGUCUGGUACCGGUUCGGCGGACCUAUUUUACCCAUGAAUAUAAUGCACAUGCUUCUGAAUCUUUCCCAAUUUUUAAGCUUGCACCCUUUUUUUUUAAAUGCUUAUUAUUUUAAAUGCUUCUGAAUCUUUCCCAAUUUUUGAGCUUGCACCCCAAAAUGUUUUAAAAAAAUUUGCUUCCCUGCAUAUCUUCUUCUGAUUUUGGUAACUGAGAUUUGGUCCUUGAAACCUCUUACAUUAGAAUUUUGAUUCACUCUUUUGUCACCAAAAAACAAUUAGAUCCAUCAAAAAAUAUAGUUAUGCUUGUUUAAUCUUAAAUAUAUCCUUUUUUUCCUUUUUCUAAAAUAAAAUGUGCAUGAAUGUUUGGAGCAUUUUUCUUAUUGAUUUUUUUUUUCUUUUCAUUGGAAGAAAGGUGUAUGCACACUAGAAUGGGUAUUUGUGUAGUUCUGAUUAAGAACCGAAAUUUUAGAAAAGAAAUCAUUGGGCGCUGAAUGUACAUGAAUUCAUAUGUGCUUUGAAAUAUUAUAAUAUCAGUUAUGAAAAUCUAUUGUCAUUGAUAAUAACAGAUAAGAAACUAGAAUAGAUUCUUAUUAAAAAUAGAUAAAUGAUUCAAUAAUGAAUAAUUAACUAACAAAUUUAUUGUCGGGGAAGGUAACACCCGGUCUUUGUUCGGUUGCCAUUUGAUGGUUAAUCUCUACGUAAUUAACCAUUUCAUGUAAAAUCCUUUAAGAACAACAUUAAUGUUUUUACAUGUAGCAAGUCCAUGUUUGUUGCACAUAGAUGGCUUGUUUUUACACAAAUCAUGGACUGAACAUGAAGUGUGGUCUUUGAAACAUGUUAGGCUUGUUAUAUAAGCUCUUUUAACCUGGCUUAUAUGCAGCUUGCUUCAUACCAAUAGUUUUAGCUCCCAAAAAAAUAUAUCAGAGACUUGGAAGCCGGCAAGAGGAUGAACAACAUUAACACAAGGAGAGAAGAUGAAGAACAGGCAGGAUUACCUUCGAGGAAUCAAACGAGUUUCGAGGAUCACAACUAGAUGGGUAAGCGCCAUCGUUGUAAUUAGGCCAGAGCCCAUGGAUGCCAAAAUCUGCAGCUGGUUUUCCAGUGGAUGGGUAGCAACAACUUUUCUUGGUGUCACAGUAGGAACCUGGCCACUGCAUGACAGACCAGAGCUAAGACUAAGAUGGCCAUUCAUAUUGCUAAGAUAAAUAAAGAGUGCCAAACUCUCUCUGGUGUCUCAAACUCUAAAUUUUUAAAAAAAAAGGUGUCCUACCUGCUGAACAAAGUAGAAGAAAUCGAAAUCCUCAGCAGUGGCUGCAAUUGCCAGGGAAAGUAGUACCAUCAUAGGAAAUAAGGAUUUCUUCUUCAUUGUUCCUUGGGCUUAUGCAAUGAAGUGAUUGUUUUCCUUGAGGUGGACCUGGUUUGGAGUUGGUAGCAAGUUCGAAGUGGAGCAAUGAAGUGAUUGUUUUCCUUGAGGUGGACCUGGUUUGGAGUUGGUAGCAAGUUCAAGUGGAGCAAUGAAGUGAUUGUUUUCCUUGAGGUGGACCUGGUUUGGAGUUGGUAGCAAGUUCGAGUGGAGGAAACAAAGUACUGCUGUGGUGUUUAUAUUUAUAAACCGAGUCUGGGCUUUGGGGAGUAAGAAUUGACAAAUUCUAUGGCAUAUUCAUAGAAUCAUUGUGGAGAGAAGGAAUAGCAUGUAAAAUAUAGAACUAUUUGGUCACCAUGUCAAGACAGAGUGUGUUCACACUAUAAAAUCCUUUUUUUAUAGUGAGAAUUGACAAAUUCUAUGGCAUAUUCAUAGAAUCAUUGUGGAGAGAAGGAAUAGCAUGUAAAAUAUAGAACUAUUUGGUCACCAUGUCAAGACAGAGUGUGUUCACACCUAAUCUCUUUUUUUUUUGUUCUUUCUUUACUUAUAUAAAAUCCUUUUUUAUCUGAUGAUUUCUUUUAAUAGCCGCCGUUCAGUUGAAGCAAACUUAUAAUACAACAUGAACAGAGCUAUACCAGCCAUGUAAUAUAUAUAUAUAUAUAUAUAUAUGGUAGGAGAGAUGCUGACGGUAUUAUAAGCUUAAAGUGGCAUUUGGUUGUGGAAUAAGUUUUCAAGGAAUAAAGAACUACCGUAAAAAUAAAAAAUUUCUAUGGACAAGUUCCGAGGACUUAUUCCAUGGAAUAGAAAUGUUCUGCAUUUAAUAAGUCGUAUAAGGGUAAGUUGUAUAUAUUUAUAAAUAGGAUUUCACAAUAAUUUGAUUACAAGGACUAACUUGCCCUCUCACUUUUUAAUACCUUUAGGGAGUUGUUAAGUGCAAAAAAUAAUUAGAGAGGAUAACUUUCCUUCUUCAUGGUAUAAGACUAUUCUUAGAAAAUGGUGGGAUAGAAUUAUACCCUCUCUCUGCUACUUAUUUGUUACCAAGGUAUAACCUAUUCUGAGUGACAGAAGAUAAUGUUUGGUUGCAUAAACAGGGAAUAAGGAUCUUAUUCUGUUUAAUUCCCACUUAUCAAACCGACCCUCAUUGACUUAGAUCAAAAACGAAAAAAAUAGACCCUUAUUGCAUGGAAAGGAAAAUAAAUGAACUUAUUUUGGUGACAGACAUGAAAGCAAUGGAUCACAACAAAUAACAUUUUUUUUUUUGAGAAAAGGAGGAAAAUUCAUGAUCUACACUAUAGUUAUCCAACUCUAAAUUUUCGGACAUGUAUCGCCCAAGAAUUGAGUCCAGAAUGUCUGGUUCAGAGCAAUCUGUAGAUUUCAGUCAUUGGCCCUCAUCAUUUUUACUUGCUACAUAACGAUCUCUCAUAAGAUAACUAAAUUUACUUCGUGGUGGAUUUAUUUGGAUAUUUGUUUUGCUCUUUUGAACAGAAAAGUACCGAGUCCUCUAGUAGAGCUGCAAAUUGAUUAAAUUAUUAAUGAAUAGUUUGAACUUGUCUUGAUGGCUGGCUUGUUUGAGUUUAUUCAAGUAGGAAAAAAGUUGAAGCUCAAAUUUUGUUCUAUGGUUUCUAUGAGGAUCCGUGCGGGCGUGUUUUUAGUCCCACAUCGGUUAUUCGCUGGGUAGAUUUUGAGUACUUAUACAGGAUCAAGAAACCCAAAUAAUACCUUCCGGCUAGCCAUUUUGGAUAAGGUUCUGGGUUGUUACAAAUUGUAUCAGAGCGGACCUGGCCCAUAAUCUAUGUGGACUAAGGGACACUGCAGCACGGAUCCAUUGAGGCCAACUAUAAGCCGAUCAUGGUAUUUGUGAUUAGAUUUGAAUGGAUUUGAACCCUUAGCCUGACGAGGACAUCAGGGCUUUAACGAAGGGAGUAUGUGAGGACCCGUGCGGACGUGUGUUUAGUCCCAUCUCGAUUAUUUACCGGAUAGAUCUUGAGUACUUAUACAGGAUCAAGGAACCCAAAUAAUACCUUCCGGCUAGCCAUUUUGGGUGAGGUCUUGGGUUGUUUCAGUUUUACUGGUGAGAGAGCCAAGUCUGAAUACUCUGGCCUCAGCAAAAUAAGUGGAAGAGGCUUAGCUUCAUAAUAGGUUAAUUUGUUCUGACUUGUUUGCAGUUUUGGAGCUUGGUUGAAGAUAGCUUGCAUCUGUAUGUAUAUAAAGAUAUGUAUAUGUAUAUGUUUGUAUGUAUGUGUGUGUAUAUAUAUGUAUAUAUGUAUAUGUGUAUAUGUGUAUAUAUGUAUAUAUGUAUAUAUGUAUAUAUAUAUUGUAUAUGUAUGUAUGUAUGUAUGUAUGUAUGUACACAUGAGAAAGGGGGGGAGAGUGAUUGGCGGAUCUCGCAAAGUAUACUUUAAAUAUGCCUUUUUUAUUUAUUAUUCUGUUUUAUUUUUUUUGAGAAAAUGGUGAGAAAUACCAUCUUUUUUGUGUUUAAGCUGGAAGGUCUCCCCAAGGAGAGGGUGGCAAACAAGAAGACCAAGUCCUGUUAGUGAUUUGCAAAUUUACUUGUUAGGUGGUUUUCAAGGUCAGAAGUCUAACAAGCAUUGCCUUCGCUACUUGUUUGGACAAGAUUGCCGAUGUGGAUAAGAGUUUUUUUUUUGCAUUCAAGAAUGGUCAAGGCAUGCACCUUCCUUUUGCAAUUAAUUAAAUAAAUAAUUGAUUAAAAGAGUAGUUGAUGGACUAAAAUAAAAAAAACCAAAGCAGUUGAGAAGUGAUUGUGAUGGAAUGUUAUCAUAUUAUAAUCACCAUAAAUAUCACCAUUGUUCAAUGUGCCUUGAAUUUCUGGAUCCAUCCUGCUCUAUGAUAUGGUUUGACAAAUUUGGAGAGAAAAAAAUUGAUUGAAUUUUUUGUGAGAUCUGUGAUAAUAGGCACAAGCCUGAAGUUCACCAUUGACCUCUUUCGAUGAUGCAUAAGUGCUUACUUAGAUUGUAUCACCCUUUACUGCUUGUAGGAUUGUUUUCUUACAUGCAAACCCAUUUCUUUUGGCCGAUCUUGAUCCCCACCACAUCUUGAUCUCAACCUGAUAAUAAAUGUGUUGGGUAUGGAAUUAAAGUCAAACUAGCUGGAACUUUCCAGUUAGUUUUAUUUAUACAUCUUUCAAUUGGGGAAAAAAUAGAAAGUAAUAAUAUAUUAGAAUAUAUUUGGAUAUUUAUACUUGACUUCAUGUAAAAUAUAUCUUUUCAAUUUUUAGUUCGUUACUUUUAUAGAGUUAACUAUCUAGUUUUCAUUCACGGUUUAAUUUUUAUAGCAUAUAUUAGAUAUUUUGUUAAUUAACUUUUUAAAAUAUGAUUUUUUUAGCUUGAUUAACUUUUCAACAUAUAAUAUUUGAUAGCCAAUUGAUAAUUCGACUCAACGCCCACCCAACCUACAAUCGAUACACAUUUUUAAUAUUCUAUUAUGAGAACCCGUGUGGGCGUGUAUUUAGUCCUACAUCGGUUAUUUGCUAGGUAGAUCUUUGGUACUUAUAUGGGAUUAAGAAACUCAAAUAAUAUCUUCUGGAUAUUUUUUUGGAUGAAAUUCUGGGUUGUGAUAAAUAGUAUCCCAGCAAACCCAACCCAUGAUCUAUGUGAAUUAGGAGAUGCUACAAUAUGGACCCGUUGGUUUAAUCAUGAGUUGAUAGUAGUGUUUGUGAUUAGAUUUGGAUCUUUAGCUCGGUGAAAAUACCAAAGUUUAAAUAGUGCUGGUAAAUCUUGAGUACUUAUAUAGGACCAAAAAAUUUAAAUAAUACUUUCUGGCUAAAUUUUUUGGACGAGAAUCUUUCAAUAAACUAGUUAUGGAAUAAAAGUUACUUGUAACCUCAACAAGCAUUGGUCUAUAUUUGCUAAAACCUAGAAAUGACUUGGUAGCGCCCCUAGCUACUUGAGCAAGAAGUUGAGAGGUUCGAUUCUAGUUGGGGUCAAUCCUAAAGGUGGGAUGGUUAGACUAGGUUCAACCCCAAAGGUGGGAUGAAUAUCUCUAUAACUAUUAAUCAGACAUGAGAGAGAAACCUCUCCUUCUUCUAGAAAUUCGUCAAAAUUCCAAAGAAAAUCGAAGAAAGUAAUAUAUGUACCAUAUCAUUAAGAAACUAUAUCAUCCCCCAUUUGAGGAGUGGGAAGGAGUUCAUUUGGUUCUUACUUAAGUUUUAAAUCAUUUCUAAACUUUAAACCAUUCAAUUAUGUACAUAGAAUUACUGCACGUUGGAAGAGUCCUUUUUCUUGGGGAAAACAAACUGAUCUAAUCUUGUAGUUAGUAACUUGGAGGACAAAUUGUGGAGAAUUUUUACAGUUAAAAAAAAUAAAUGUAGAUACAUGGUCUUGAGAGCAUGCCAUUCCCUAAUAAGAAGAGCCUUUCAUUUGGGAUGCGCCCUCCACCAACUGGAGGUCCCAACUCAACCCCAUGGUGUGGCAUAUGGUUGUCAACAAGAUGUAAACAAAUCCUUCUUUGCCUCUUGACUCCAAUACCAGUGCUCUAAGUCAUGCUAGGGUUAUUUCAUGAAUGUAUUCGAGACUUGAAAAAUCAAUUCACAUUUAAUAUUUCUUCUUGAAAGUUUCUGCCUGAAAUUUGUGCAAAAUCAUUCUUUAUGUCUCUUUUUUUAAAAAAAUCUUUUGCUUGUGCUUUGGCUAAUUGUUUCUAAUUACUAAUUCAAAAAGGAGGAUCCAUUUGAUAUAUUGACAUUCCAUUUUGGUGAGGGUUGCUUUGGGUUAUAUUGUUUAAAUACUGCAAAAUAUGAUCUUUUUUGGUUUCUUUAGCCCUUUGGAUAAGAUCUAUUAAAGUAGUUGUUUGUAAGGAAGUUGCAUUCUGAUUGGUAUAUUAUUAACAUUUUAUUCCUGAUUGGAUUUGUUUUUUGUGUUCUUUGACCCUUGUGAACUGAUUAACUUUGUAUAUUCUUGGAAAGAAUUCGAUUAAAUAAGCUAAUGAGAAUGCUUAGAAAACAAAGCCAAUGCAUUAAAAUAUCUGACAUGCAUGCCCAUUCAAAUUUAUUCUUUCUCCCCUUGCAAGGUUUUGGUCCAUCGGAAUGAAGAAACAAAUGUCUUUGUGACAUACUCCAUUAUUUUAUGCUAUAAAUUGUUGAUGAGAAAGUAGAUCAAAUUCAUGCAUUGCUUUCCUGUGCUAUGCGAUUCUACAGAUUGUAUAAAACUCCAUUAUGCCCCAUCUAUUGCUAAUAAUUAAGAAGUCAAUAAAUGCUUUUCACUACUAUUUUUAAUAAAUAAAUAGUACUCUUUAUUGUUGGUGACAUAGUUGAAAAUAACUUCCUAAAUUUUUUGGAUCUCUCUAUGAAAAUAAAUUAAAGAGAAUAUAUUUCCUAUUCAUUAGUUAUCCUAACUUAUUUGCAAGGACUCUUCAAUCAAAUUAGCAAUUUUAAAGAUCUUAACAAAUUGACUCUGCUUUUAGGGUUUUAAAAAUCAUGUAUCGGUGACUAGUAUUUUUUUUCUUAAGUGAGUAUUAGGAUAUAGAGUGUAUAACAUGUGGUUUUAAUUAAAAAGUGAAAGAUAAUAUUGGAUGCAAUCUUGAUAUUUGCUGAUUCAAUUAGACUCUAGAUCUUCAUUUAGCAUCUAUAUCUUGUUCAUAUAUUUCAAAUUUUACUUGCCUCCAAUUUAUUGGAAUUUCCUCACAAACUCUUAAACUUAUUCUAUAUACGAGAUAAGAUAUAUAUCUUUCGUAUAAAAUUGAAAUCAUAUUUUCUAAAUAUUUUAUAACUAUUUAUUUACAUAUUUUCUAUUUUGUGAGGGUAUUUUACUUGUACAAUCAAAAGGGAUGGAAUUCAGCCUCUUACAAUCUCAGAUAUAAUUAUUUAUUUUAGAAAUUACGUAAAUGGCAAAUGCCCAACUCUAGUUAUAAAACAUAAAAAGAAUGCAGAAAUAUUUUUUUUUUCCUUAAUACAACGGCGGCUUACAGGUCUUCCAUUAUUACAACCAAUAAAAUUUAAAAAAAAUUGAUGGAGAGAAAAAAAGAACAAUCUCAUAAUUCUUCCAAAAAAAAACUCUAUCUGAAUAUUGGGCAAAAAAAAAAACCUAAUCAGCAGUAACCUGUGUAUGUUUUGUAGUAGCGUAUUAUCUGUCGUCAAUUUUGUAUUGGACAUUGUUGCUGGAAAUUGGACCCGGGGGCCGCCGCGAAGCCGGAGAAGGAGGAGCUCCGCUGCUACAGGGGGCGGACGGCGGUGCGCCGGCCAGNNNNNNNNNNNNNNNNNNNNNNNNNNNNNNNNNNNNNNNNNNNNNNNNNNNNNNNNNNNNNNNNNNNNNNNNNNNNNNNNNNNNNNNNNNNNNNNNNNNNNNNNNNNNNNNNNNNNNNNNNNNNNNNNNNNNNNNNNNNNNNNNNNNNNNNNNNNNNNNNNNNNNNNNNNNNNNNNNNNNNNNNNNNNNNNNNNNNNNNNNGUAGAUUCGACUUGGUCGCUUGUCGAGGACUACUAGCGCGCGCAAGGCUCCGACCAAUACAAGAUCCGAGAAAAAAAAGAGCGCCAAAAGAAAAGGCUAUUUCCAUAACUCGAAUUUAUCACAUUCAUAAUGUAACGACCUUACUAUUGCACUAAGAUCUACCAUCUACUCAUCCAAAAUUUAUCCUUUUAGAAUUUCAAUUAGCUACAAGUUUACGGGUGAAUUUUGAUAACUGCCAUUGGUCUUCAUUUGGAGAUAAUCCAUCUUCAGCCGCUCAUCUAGCUAACGUACUCGACUGCAAGUCUUCUUCAUUUUGUGUUGAUUAUCUGGGCCUGCCUCUAUCCUUACUCUUAAAAAAAUCCAAUAGCAACAUUUUUUUUGGUAGAUUUGAUUCUAAGGCUCUGUUUGGGAGAGCUGUUGGCAGUAGAGCUUUUGAAAUUAGAGCUUUCUGAAGUAGAGCUUUUAUAAAAAGAUAUUUGUUAUUUGGUAAUACAUUUCUAAAGUGUUGUACCACUUUAACAUGUGUUUGGUAAACAAACUAACAAAGUACUUUGUUACUUUAGCUAACAAACUAACACUUUAAAUUAGCCAGUUGAAAAGCCUUCUCCUAAAGGGAGAUUAACACUUAGUAACUUAGCUUUGACACGUCGUCCCUUUUACUAUAUAUCUUUAUCUUCCUUAUUCCAAGUUGGCUAAUCUUAAGCGAGAUAGUUUAAGAAGGAUUUUUUUCCGAAAAGAUUCCCAACCAUAUGCUUUUGCUUCCUUGAUAAAUCUGAAUUAGGUAUACAUAAAAAGGAGAAGGUGGCCCGAAUCUAAAUAAAUUUAAUAAAACAUGGUUAGGUAAAUGGGGAUAGAGACCUUUGAAAGAUGAUAGGCAAAUGUGGUGAUCAUAGUUCAAAUCCUCUCUCUUCAUAGCAUGCAUCAUUGCCAUAGUAAAUUAUUUUAUACUUCAAGAACUUAAUGAUUGUGUUACACAGGCAGAUAUAAAGUUACUUUUUUUUUGUGUUGCAUGUUUAAAUCUAAGGGUUCUAUUUCAUGCUCUAUUGAAAGGGGGUGUGGUCGUACCCAUGACCAUGGCAAUCCACGCCAUUAUAUCCUUCGCCGGGGUCCUCUUAAAAAGCCCUGCGGCUAAGCCUAUGUCAUUGGUCUUGGCAUGGGCGACAAUCAAUGAAGUCCAAAAUAUGGUAUCUCUAACAAAUAUUUCAUCAAACAUCUUACGAGCAAACAUCAGGCCAGAGCACUUGACGUAUAUUGGAGAUAAAGAUGCUCUAGAUAAAGAGAUUGAUGUCGAAGUUAUUGGUGGUAAGGGUUUGGGUGUAGACUCGGAUGCUCAUAAGGAGGGAGCAGGUAGUGGUACAAACCUUGAGAAGAGCGGAGAAGGUAAAUAAGAGAGGCAAAGAGGGAGGCAAUCCUUUGCCAUUGCACCAAGCGAUGACCCUUUUGAAAAUAGGCUUAACAUUAAGUGAAAAUUCGAAUGGGAAAUGUUUGCUCCAUCCUUUUUACCGCCCUCUUUAGCUCUCACGCCCUGAUUUACACAUACCAAUAGUCACCAGAUUCAUAUGGGCUACGGGGGAGUAGGCAAUGAUCUUCUUAAGAUCGAUCUGUCUUGAAGUGGUCGAGGGAGUAUAUAUUAUAGCAAUCGCGCUUGGAGUAUAAAUGAAAGGAGUGGAACGAAGUGUCGCUUCGGGAAACAUGGGUAUUGAAAAUCUUAAAAACCCAUGGGUUCCCAAUUUUGAAGGAAUUCCUGCCAAGAUGAGGGAUCCAGCCGUAGGUGCCUCUACAUGGGCUUCGGGUAACCAAAUAUGAACUGGUACCAUAGGCACUUUGACGGCGAAAGAGGCGAAAGAAGCAAUCCAUAGAAAGAUUUGGCGCCGCUCACUAAAUUCUGUGGUUAAUAAGAUUUGUGAAUCGGUGGUUCCUGUUUGGAAAAGAAUCAACGGAAUAGCUAAUAGCAUAAAAACUGAUCCAAGUGAAGUAUAUAGGAAAUACUGAUAUGCAGCCUUGAUCUUUCUUUGUCUCGAACCCCAUACUUGAUUAUAUACUUUUGCUUUGCCCAUUUGGUAGAUUUACCUGGCACCAAGUCAGACUUAGAUGCAAGAUUACUUGGCCUUGGCCUAGAAUUCACACUUUCAAAGCAACUUGGCAUUAGGGGACAAAGAAUAGAGUAUCGAAUCACUUUCAGCUAGUUGAAACUUGUUGAUGAUGACUAUUUAAUGGUCACUCUGAAAAGAAAAAAAAUAAAAUAAAACAAGCUUCUGUUGACAAUUAAAGAUCAACAAGGAAGUUUUAAAUGAAGCCCUCUCUAUUCCUAUCAUCAAAACAAGUGGUUGCUUUGAAGAAGACUACAUCUUACAACAACCUUCUGUCUGCCCUCCUCAUGACCACAGCUACUGCUUAAUCUCUAUAAAAAGUUGAUCCUUUUUGGCUGAGAAUUUGCUCAUUGUAUAUUUUUCCAUUCACUAUAGAAGCAGGUGAAAAUUUGCCCCACCUUAUUUUUUUGAAAAGAACAAGAAAAGUGGAUUUAGCUCAUAAAUUUUUUUUAAAAAAAUUGACUCAUGAAAUUGGAAACUAGAAUAUAAACCCAAUCACUGUAAGAAUCUAGAGUACACUAGAGAUGCAGACAAUGCUUCAAAACCAAGUACAAAAGGAUGUUCAUAGAUUUCUGGAUCUUUAAACUGAUAGAACUCGUGAAUGCUCUUAUAACUCAACCAAUGCAAAAUAAAUUACUAAAAUGAGGUUAAAAUAUAUUUUAAGAUGUCCAGCGUAAAAAUUUCACAAGUUGUGAAGGCAUAAUAAAUUAAUAAUUAGUGUCAAGUUAGAAAAAAGGGACUCCCCUCUUAAUAGCAAACCUCGUUACUGACAUUAAAUGGUUGUUUGGAUGACAAGUUUCAAUAAAAUAUAUUUAAAAAAUCAAAACGAAGGAGCUUUAAAAAUGGUUGUUUGAUUUCAUAAAACUUGGGAAAGAAAACAAGUCUUUACAACUUUACCCCAAGUCUUUACUCAAAAAAAUAAGUCUUUACACAAAAACAAGGCUUAAGAACAAGUUUUAAGGAUCUACUAAACAAUCUCUAAGACUGAAGCCAUUCUCAUGCUCGCUGAUGCUUACAUGUCUCUCUCAAAGAGAGGGGGGGAAGAUCCACACAAGAUAAGAUGUAUAGACGCAAAUAUUUAAGUGCACAGCUCAAGAUUGAAAUGCAGAAUCUCAAUUUCGAACAUAAGAGGUAUGACCAUCCGGCAUGUCUAGUUGACCUAACACUGGUUCAGGUUAUAUCUUUCAUGCAGAAGAAUAAUUCACCUUCUUUCGUGAUGUUAAUCAUUUGAUCGCGCAAUAGCUAUUUCAAAAUCUAUAUAGGCAGAUAGAAGAAAAAUAUUGACAUCGUGAAAGAAAAUCAAGCAUUCUUUCGUACCAAAGGUACAACCCGAACCUCUAACACUAACUAAAUGAGCAUAGAAUGGAUAAGACAAUAGCGGCAAUUCUAUUAGUGGCUUUUUUUGGGUAAUGAUUCCAUUAGUGGCUUUUGGUGAUUGUGGUCUNNNNNNNNNNNNNNNNNNNNNNNNNNNNNNNNNNNNNNNNNNNNNNNNNNNNNNNNNNNUUGCUGGCGCUCAGGGGCGGCGCCGCACAGGCUUGCUGGUUGGCUUUACUUGGAGCCGGUGGACCAUGACCUCUGGAUCUAUCCCCGGCAUGUCCGCAGGUGACCAUGCGAAGACAUCCAUGUUGUCUCGCAGGAAAUUGACGAGACGACUCCUCUCGUGCUCAUCGAGGCCAGAGCCGACCUGCACGGUUAGCUCAGGAAAGCUCUCUCGUAAGGGAACUUGGAUUAGUAACUCACCAGGCUGUACCCGCUCUUUCUGAGGGUCGACCCGUGCCUCCAUGACCUCAGUUGAGGGCUGGUCAGUCGCUGGGGCAGGCACCUCGGCGGGUCGCUUUGCCUCAUGGGUCGCCAGGUAGCAUCUCCUUGCCACCAUUUGGUCUCCUCGGACUUCGCCGACCCCCUGGCUGGUGGGGAAUCGCAUGAGCAGGUGGUGAGUGGAGACCACCGCUCGGAGGGCAUUGAGGCCUGGCCUUCCGAGGAUGGCAUUAUAGACCGAGGGAAGGCGUAUCACGAGGAAGCUCAUCCCCACGGUACUUUCACGGGGGGCGNNNNNNNNNNNNNNNNNNNNNNNNNNNNNNNNNNNNNNNNNNNNNNNNNNNNNNNNNNNNNNNNNNNNNNNNNNNNNNNNNNNNNNNNNNNNNNNNNNNNNNNNNNNNNNNNNNNNNNNNNNNNNNNNNNNNNNNNNNNNNNNNNNNNNNNNNNNNNNNNNNNNNNNNNNNNNNNNNNNNNNNNNNNNNNNNNNNNNNNNNNNNNNNNNNNNNNNNNNNNNNNNNNNNNNNNNNNNNNNNNNNNNNNNNNNNNNNNNNNNNNNNNNNNNNNNNNNNNNNNNNNNNNNNNNNNNNNNNNNNNNNNNNNNNNNNNNNNNNNNNNNNNNNNNNNNNNNNNNNNNNNNNNNNNNNNNNNNNNNNNNNNNNNNNNNNNNNNNNNNNNNNNNNNNNNNNNNNNNNNNNNNNNNNNNNNNNNNNNNNNNNNNNNNNNNNNNNNNNNNNNNNNNNNNNNNNNNNNNNNNNNNNNNNNNNNNNNNNNNNNNNNNNNNNNNNNNNNNNNNNNNNNNNNNNNNNNNNNNNNNNNNNNNNNNNNNNNNNNNNNNNNNNNNNNNNNNNNNNNNNNNNNNNNNNNNNNNNNNNNNNNNNNNNNNNNNNNNNNNNNNNNNNNNNNNNNNNNNNNNNNNNNNNNNNNNNNNNNNNNNNNNNNNNNNNNNNNNNNNNNNNNNNNNNNNNNNNNNNNNNNNNNNNNNNNNNNNNNNNNNNNNNNNNNNNNNNNNNNNNNNNNNNNNNNNNNNNNNNNNNNNNNNNNNNNNNNNNNNNNNNNNNNNNNNNNNNNNNNNNNNNNNNNNNNNNNNNNNNNNNNNNNNNNNNNNNNNNNNNNNNNNNNNNNNNNNNNNNNNNNNNNNNNNNNNNNNNNNNNNNNNNNNNNNNNNNNNNNNNNNNNNNNNNNNNNNNNNNNNNNNNNNNNNNNNNNNNNNNNNNNNNNNNNNNNNNNNNNNNNNNNNNNNNNNNNNNNNNNNNNNNNNNNNNNNNNNNNNNNNNNNNNNNNNNNNNNNNNNNNNNNNNNNNNNNNNNNNNNNNNNNNNNNNNNNNNNNNNNNNNNNNNNNNNNNNNNNNNNNNNNNNNNNNNNNNNNNNNNNNNNNNNNNNNNNNNNNNNNNNNNNNNNNNNNNNNNNNNNNNNNNNNNNNNNNNNNNNNNNNNNNNNNNNNNNNNNNNNNNNNNNNNNNNNNNNNNNNNNNNNNNNNNNNNNNNNNNNNNNNNNNNNNNNNNNNNNNNNNNNNNNNNNNNNNNNNNNNNNNNNNNNNNNNNNNNNNNNNNNNNNNNNNNNNNNNNNNNNNNNNNNNNNNNNNNNNNNNNNNNNNNNNNNNNNNNNNNNNNNNNNNNNNNNNNNNNNNNNNNNNNNNNNNNNNNNNNNNNNNNNNNNNNNNNNNNNNNNNNNNNNNNNNNNNNNNNNNNNNNNNNNNNNNNNNNNNNNNNNNNNNNNNNNNNNNNNNNNNNNNNNNNNNNNNNNNNNNNNNNNNNNNNNNNNNNNNNNNNNNNNNNNNNNNNNNNNNNNNNNNNNNNNNNNNNNNNNNNNNNNNNNNNNNNNNNNNNNNNNNNNNNNNNNNNNNNNNNNNNNNNNNNNNNNNNNNNNNNNNNNNNNNNNNNNNNNNNNNNNNNNNNNNNNNNNNNNNNNNNNNNNNNNNNNNNNNNNNNNNNNNNNNNNNNNNNNNNNNNNNNNNNNNNNNNNNNNNNNNNNNNNNNNNNNNNNNNNNNNNNNNNNNNNNNNNNNNNNNNNNNNNNNNNNNNNNNNNNNNNNNNNNNNNNNNNNNNNNNNNNNNNNNNNNNNNNNNNNNNNNNNNNNNNNNNNNNNNNNNNNNNNNNNNNNNNNNNNNNNNNNNNNNNNNNNNNNNNNNNNNNNNNNNNNNNNNNNNNNNNNNNNNNNNNNNNNNNNNNNNNNNNNNNNNNNNNNNNNNNNNNNNNNNNNNNNNNNNNNNNNNNNNNNNNNNNNNNNNNNNNNNNNNNNNNNNNNNNNNNNNNNNNNNNNNNNNNNNNNNNNNNNNNNNNNNNNNNNNNNNNNNNNNNNNNNNNNNNNNNNNNNNNNNNNNNNNNNNNNNNNNNNNNNNNNNNNNNNNNNNNNNNNNNNNNNNNNNNNNNNNNNNNNNNNNNNNNNNNNNNNNNNNNNNNNNNNNNNNNNNNNNNNNNNNNNNNNNNNNNNNNNNNNNNNNNNNNNNNNNNNNNNNNNNNNNNNNNNNNNNNNNNNNNNNNNNNNNNNNNNNNNNNNNNNNNNNNNNNNNNNNNNNNNNNNNNNNNNNNNNNNNNNNNNNNNNNNNNNNNNNNNNNNNNNNNNNNNNNNNNNNNNNNNNNNNNNNNNNNNNNNNNNNNNNNNNNNNNNNNNNNNNNNNNNNNNNNNNNNNNNNNNNNNNNNNNNNNNNNNNNNNNNNNNNNNNNNNNNNNNNNNNNNNNNNNNNNNNNNNNNNNNNNNNNNNNNNNNNNNNNNNNNNNNNNNNNNNNNNNNNNNNNNNNNNNNNNNNNNNNNNNNNNNNNNNNNNNNNNNNNNNNNNNNNNNNNNNNNNAGCAGAGCGCCUCUAUUCGGCGCUUUUUGCCCCCUGGUCGGCAUCCCUUGGCCGAGCAUCCCUACUAUGAUUAUUUUGGCUGGGCGCCUCUUCUUGGCGCUCUCUCUGGUCGGCAUCCCUUGGCCGAGCAGUUCUCUGGUCGGCACUCUCUGACCGAGCAGUUCUCUGGUCGGCACUCCUUGGCCGAGCAGCUUUCCGGUCGGCGCUCUUUGGCCGAGCGCCUCCGUGGAUGUAUGACUUGAGAUUUUUCCCCCAACAGACAUGAAUCCAUCUGAUCAUCUUGGCAAAAUCUUUUUUAAAAUAGAUACGCCUUGUAUCCAAAUUUCGAUAACUAUGGUAGAAUCGUGGAUAUAAUUUAAAUAACCUCACAUAAAUGAGGUCUUUCUCCGAUAAUAACCGUACGGAGUGGUAGCUUCGCUGAGAAGAUUUUUGUCCGUAAAAUUCCCACUCUUUACACUCAGCUCUGUUCUAAUUUCUCGCUCGCUUUUCUUUAGCGGAGAAAGGAGAGUAUAUUUUUAAGCUCCACCCCACGCAGAGAUACGAAGAGAGAAGGCUGGCGGCGAUGGCGGCGAACGCGGCGGACGUGGAGGUGGUGGACUUCGAGCCGGACGACGAUGAUCUCAUGGACGAGGACGGCGCCGCCGAGGUCGACGCCGCCCCUUCCCACCACAAACUCCGCUCCGCCAUCACCGGCGGCGAUCUCUCCGCCGACUCCAAGAAGACCAAAGGCCGCGGCUUCCGGGAGGAGGCCGCCGCCGCCACCGCCGAGCGCAACAGCCGCUUCGCCUUCCGGGACUUCGAGUCGCUCGACUCCGACGGCGGCCCCGGCCCCCAAAGAUGUCAGUUGUCCUCUCCCUUCUCUGAUUUUUAGGGUUUGCUAAGCGGAAUUGUUCUAGGUAUUCUAAAUCUUGUUGCUAUGUUUGUAUGCCGACAUUUUUCUCUUUGAAUUUGGGCGUGUUUAUGUUAGAAUGGUUAGGGUUUCUGGUUCCUACUUGACCUUUUCUUAUAGAUAUUUAACUAUGGAAACUGAACGAUCUGAGUGAAGAGGAACUGGUUGGGGGUAUGCAUUCCCUUGACCUUUGUUUCCCAGUUUUGAAUAAGCUUGGACUGAUCCUGGAAAGAAAAAGUAGCAGACAACUUUAUGAGUUUUAAACCAUUAUUACUCGGGUGAGGUUUCAGUAUGUUUUUCUUAGCAAUUGAAAUGUCAAAGGUUGUUUCUUGGUGCCUCGGAGCAACAAAUGAGACUAACAAUACAAUUGUGCCCUGGAGAAUUGAUGUGAACUUCUUUCAGUUGAUAAUCUUGGGGUCUGUAUAUUGCAGCGAAAAAUUGUUGUUUGUCGUGCUCUGAUGUUAGUAAACAAUGCCUAAACCUCAAGGAAUGAUGUGAAUGAUGAAAUUUGCGUGGAACAUCUUCUUGUUGAUGUUAGUUAGCCAUGGCCAUUGUGGAUUUUAUUUCUUUAUGGAAUAAAACAAUUUGGAAGGAGCACUCAAUAUUUCAUGGUCAUGAUGGAAAUGGUGGCUGUCUGUUGUAGACAUACUUCAUUUAAAGAAUUUUGAUGGAUAAAAUAUAAAUAUUUUGAAACUGAAGUAAUAUUGUAUGAAUAUUAUCUUGUUUUACUUUGAGAGAUUCUCUUUUGGGAUGAAGAAGAGGAAGUGCCUUAUCAUCUUAAGCUCUUUCUAGAAUUGGAUCAGUGACACCUUUAGUAAAUCGGUAGAAUCCUAAGUUCUUUUAGAAUUUAGAGACUUCAUUCAUUAUAUGAAGGAGAAGUUAAAAAUUUUACUUUAUCAAUAGAAAAUCAAGAAAUUAAAUUUUUCAAAGUCAAAAUUGUCUGCAGUUAUGGUAGUAACAUGCAGUUAGUACAAUCAAUAUCUUGCAAAGAGUGAUCUCAUUUAUGGUAGUGAGUUGCACUAAAAAUAAAGGAUUUUUGUUUUCUUGAUGAUUGCUCAUAGUUAGCAUUCCUAUUUAUUUUUUUGACAUGUGUCUUCUCUAUUCCCUAUAGUCUUAAUUAAUUUUAAUAUUUAAAUAAUUGAAAUAGGAAUAACAUGAUUCAAAUGGUUUUUGCAACAUAACAAGAUUUUAAAUUUUAUGGACAUAUCUUUUGGUUUUGGGUUGUUCAAAAUGUUGUUGGAGAUAAGGUAGUGAAAUUCCUUGUUGUGUAAGUUUUGACCCGCACGAAUGGUAUAAUGAUCUUGGCACUAUCUCGAGGAGAGGCUUGAUAAAAUAGACAUUCUGUGAAGAUGUCAACUUCCUGCACCUGGACACAAAGACACUAUGAAUCUUUAUUGCUCCUUGGGAUUGGCCUUGGGCCUUUCUCAUGCAAGUUUGGUGUUUCUUAACCUCGCUGGGCCCUUACCAAACUACAAGGCCAAUUUCAAAAGUGUACGGAUGAUCGAAAAUUCAUGUUUUGAUUGUUGGUUCUUCAUCUGCAUUAUUGUACAAUAGGUAAAAGCUUUUUGCUUAUUAAUAAAAUUGCCUAUUACAAAAGCAUGAAAAUAGGAGAACUGAACAAGUGAAGCUUUCAUUUAUUAAGUAAUAUUUAUGCUAUGGCUCUUCUGAGGUGCAUAGAUAUUUGCAUAGACCAAAUGAGAUGUUUUGACUUUUUAGAAGAAUCAUGUAUGAUGUUACAAAACCUAUAUUACUUGGACAUUCUUGUCCAACUCCUAUAAUCUGCACUGGAUAUGCAUACAAGUUGGAUAAUUUUCAUCCAGUUGCAAUUUUUACAAAUGGAUUUUUUUGCACGAAUGCUCUUUUAAAAAUUCAAAUUUGCAUGAAUACCCUCUUAAAAUUUAUAUUUAUUUCUGUAUCCUCACAAAACUCUAUUUUUGCACAAGUGCCCCUAAUAUAACGGUUCUUCUAACACCGUUAAUAAAAAUCAUAUUUAUUUUAAUUAAAAAUAAAGUAGAAUUUUGAAAUCAUUUUUUUGCCUUUUAUCGCGAUCGCCUUAUAAAUGUUUCCUUUUGCACCCAUUAAAAGUAUUUUAGUCAUUUUAAUUUGAAACCAUUAAUGUUUUAAAGGCGUUAGAUGACGUAGGUACAUAUGAUAAAAACAAGAAUAAAAAAUGGGUAGAAUAGCAAAACAAAUGUUUUACGAGGGUAUAUAUGCAAAUAUCAAUUUUGGAAAGGUAUUCAUGAAAAAUUUGAUAUUUAGGAGGGUAUUCAUAUAAAAAACCUUUUACAAAUUGGUAAUUUCAAAAGUGAGCUUUGCUCUUUUUAGAAUUGGCGAAUAGCUUACAUAUUAAAAUAGCUUUGCAAAAUAUAUUUUUCUCAAAAUUCUUAGUUUGUUUGGGAAGUUGGAUGAGAAACAUGUAUAAGAAAAGCUAGGAGGCCACACCUAGCAUUUUCAUGUUGUUUCCACCACUUACUAAUUGGCUUCUCCAGUAUCAUUUUUUUUUGUUGGAGCUCUUAGAAAUUGCUAGACAGUUGACUCUAUCGGAAAAUAGUCUUGAUCCACUAUUAAUAAUUUCAAAAAUGUGCUUUUGUUCUUUUAAGAAUUGGUAAAAAUAUAAUAUAAAAAUGGCGUUGCAAUUUUUUUUAAAAAAUUCUUGAGCUAAUUGCAAAUCUUGAAUUUGGGAAACAUGUAUAUUGAAAGGCUUUAUUGUCCUGUUCAUCCUUUCCUACUUUUUACAUGGAAUUCUAUAAUUUUCCCAUUGCAAUCCUUGCACUUUUAUUCAUUGAGGUCUAUAAUUGUAAUUUACAUUAUCAUACGAAUGAUUUCUCUUGUGCCAUCCUUCUCUUAGUUUCAUGACAUGAGAUUUCUAUACAAGCUCAUAUUUUUUGUCUAUUUUCCAAUCAUAUCUGUGGAUCUUUCUAAAUUUCGAUAAGGUAUAUAUCAUUAACUCAUUCAAAUAUUUUUAUAGCUUUUCUACAAGAAAGCACAUCACGUUCUUCAUACAUUAAGGUCGCAUAUACUUUGUCUUCCAGCUGAGACAUCAAGCGCAUGAGUUUUUUUAACUUGUAAUUCUUAUAUAUGUCAUUUUUGUUUUGUAAUUUGAACAGCUAUUGAGGGAUGGAUUAUACUGGUCACUGGAGUUCAUGAGGAGGCUCAAGAAGAUGAUCUCCAUAAUGCUUUUCGGGAAUUUGGGCUGGUCAAGAAUUUGCAUCUAAAUCUAGACCGUCGUACUGGAUUUGUCAAGGUAAAUUAGCUCCUUCCAUUUUAAUUGCUUUAAACAAUCAUAAUGGUCUCACCUGCCAAGUCAGUGACGUCUCCUUCCAAUCUGAACUUUGCGACCCUUCUCAGUUCAGCAAUUGGUUGUUGUAUUAUUGCUUAAAAUAUUUUUAUUUUCCUGUAAACAUGGUCUUACCUAUUGAAAUUUGUUAACAAUAACCAUAACAAUCAAGCCUUGCCCCAACAAUUUGAGGUCAUUUUGUGAAUCAUCAUCCACAAAUUAUUCCUAGGGAGGGCUAUCUUCUGUUUUAGGGAAAGCUUUUCAUCCAUUUUAGUUUAGGACUCUGCUUCCUUUUACCAAGACCUUUGCAUAUAUUCUAGUACCCCUCCUAUCCAGGGCCUCCUCAUACUAUCUUGAUUGGUUCACUUUUUUCUCAAUUUGUAUAACCUCUACAGUCUCUCUAGUUUAUUUGGUUCUCACUAUGCCCUUCAUAGUUUUACCACUCAUCUACCUUAAAAUUCUCAUUUUUGUUAGGUCGAGGAUAACAAUAUUAAUUAUAGAGAAACUUAAUAAAAAUAUUAUUAUUAUUUUCAUUGAAAUUAACAUCAUGACUCUAAAGCGAUGAGGCAUUACUUCAUGGAUUAUUAUAUUAAGGUGAUAGAGUGCUGUUGCAAAAUAUCACUGCCAAGUUUGAUUACCCCAUUUUUCUGUGGUCUAAUCUGUUGACUGUGUGCUUUUCUAUUUGACAAACUUUCUCUGAUUCUCCCUUGAGGUGGCAAGUUUACCAGGUUUUAAUGGAGUAAAUGAAAAGAAUAAAAUAGUGCAAAGGCAAAUGGAAAACAUCUUUUCAGACGUUGUCCCAAUUUUUCGUUGAAGUGCUUCAAUUUUAUUAUUAUUAUUAUAUUAAAUUUUUAAUUGUUCUGGAGGAAAAUCUACUGAUCUGUUUUUAAUUUAUUAAUUAUCUUAAGAAAAAUACAUUUCACUUUUUUUUUAACAGAAUUCACUUAAAAUUACUGAAAUAAAAAAAUAGAGCAUAUAAACAUGUUUAUACAAUUGCAUCUUUUCAUUCUGAACAAAAUAGUUACAUCAGAAAAAAUCCAAACCAUGCUUCUAUUUCACUUAUUCUUAAAACAUGAUUAUGACUAGUCAUGAUUAUUUAAUAUCUCUUAUGUUCUUCUUAGGUCUUCAUUGACAGUGAUGAAUCUUGACCCAUUUGUUCUUAGCAAUCAUGUUGAAGCAUAAUCCAUAGAAUCAUGUAUGUACCUAUAGUAAUAGAACAGAACUCUUUGGUUCGAUAAGUCUUUCAGAAGGAUGAGGAUAGAAAUAUUCAAUAAAGACUCAUUUGUCAUAAAAGAGGCUUUUCUUUGGAAUUUGGUAGGGACAAUGCAAAGAUCGUUGCCAGCAAUUAGGGGAAGGGGAUAUUGGGUAUUUAAAUGCUUUUUCCCCAAACAGGAAUCUCAAUGCUUGGUUUUAAAAGUGGCUGCGUUUGUGGGUGGUCAAUGGUAGCAUAGUGCAUAUGCAGUGUGCGGAUCGUGUGUAUGGGUGCGCAUGCAGUUACUAUUUUUCGACUAUUUAAAAAUAGAUAUAAUAUAUCAAGGAUAAUAAAAUAACAAUAAUGACAAUAAUUUUUGAUGGAUGGAUAAUAGCAUGAUUCAUAACACUAAUAAUUAAUAGUUAGUGCUUAUUGCUUAGUCACUAAUACCCAGUAGCAAUAAUUGUAACAUAGUCAAUACUUGUUUCAGCCUUCAGGCCCACCUGAAACCUUUGUCAAAUGUAACCAUCAGCUUAAACCUAUUUCACCUAUAUGGUCCGUAUAAGAGUGGGCUGUAUAUGUAGCUUUAGAAUACUAAGUAGGCUCACAUAUAAAUCUGUACGAUGCUAAGUACACCAUACUUGCAGCCAUGCAAUACUAAAUAGAUCGCCUUUUUGGUCCAUAGAUGGCAUGACCACUUAUAUACUGCAUAUAGGCAAGGCGCUGUGGAUGCUAUGCGGCAGUAUGCACCACAUUUAAGAACACCAUGAAUGCUUUUAGAACCUAUCUAUUUUUGCCAUGAAGUUAUUUAGCCACCCUUAAGGAACUGUUUUUGAAUUUUACUAAUUUGGGUGAAUUAGUCAAAGCAACAACAAUCAAUUUGAAGAAUCAUCAAAUUAUCACUGAUUGUUACAUGUGAUGUAGAUCAUAUUUCUUUAAAGUACUUCAUAAUGCAGCCUUAUUUUAUCAUUUUCUUGGAUUUGCUCAUAUGUCGUGACCACUUUUUCAAAUCAGACCCUACCACCAUAUCUAUCAUGUUCUGAGUCCAGUUUGGUGUUUGAUUAGUUAUGGCAAAAAAUUGCAAACUAACUAAUGCACAUUCAGUAGUGGGUUGGACCAUUCAAAUAUUUACCUGUCUGUCAUGAUUUAGGACAGAAAAUUUAAAAGAAAAAAUAAAAAAGAAGCUCACCAUAUAAUUUGAAAAUGUCCCUCUUGCACAUUACCAAACAAACCUACCACCACACUGUUUCUUGUAUAUUGCGUAAGAUACUGCACUUCAUAUAAUGAAAGUCAAGGUUUGCUAUAAGAUCUCAUCAUUAGGUUUGAAUGUACAAUCAGCCAAUUUGGACUUAUAUGUCUCAACCUAACUCUAUUUCAAUUUUAUGUCUUGCCAAGUUCUAAUAACCAUUAUUUCAUAUUCGAAUUGAACUGACUUUGUGCAAAUAUAUCUUGGAGUCUGAUGAUCUACCAUUUCAGUGGAGAAGACUACCAUUCUAUGUUAAACCAAAACAAAUAUAGGAAGUGCUUUACGAGGAUAACAUUUAAGGUCAUCAUAGCGUUGGGGUAAUUUUUUGUCUAAAGAUUAAGAGAGGAUUGUGUUUUGGCUAGUACCGUCUCUUAUUAAUUGACAUCUGCAAUGAUUUGGAUGUUGUAGUGGAGUAUGCUGAGAAGUUAAUUUCAUAUAUUUUUAACUUAUCAAGUUGGAAAUGUUGGAAUUUUUUGAUCUAUUUGGGCUGGUUUUAUAGCGGAGAUGGAAUUUUGUAUAAACUACUUACAUGCACUAGGAGAUGUAUGUAUAUGUAAUAUUUGUAUGUAUAUAUGUAUGUAUGUGAGGGCUAAAAUGUGGAAGUAAAUAAGGUCAAGGGAUUAUGCAAAUAAUAGACCUCGAUAGCAAGUGUAUCUUUCUUAUAGAUAUGUAGAGUUUGAGGGAUGAGGAAGUUAAGGGCCAACUAUGGCCUGUUUGUUCUUGUUGCUGUUUUUCUGUUUUUGAUCCUCUAAAGAUAGUGAAAUACCCACAUUGAGGUUGAUAUUGGAGAUAGCAUUUGCAGAAAACUUCUACCAUUCUUUGCUUCCAUUUUCACUCAUUCUGAAAGCAAUAAAUCUUUGCCACCAAAAGUUCUAAAGAUUUUACAUAAUAAUUUAGAAAAUAAAAGGGUUUCAUCAUAGAUGUUGUUCAGUCUGGUUCAUUUUUCUUCUUGGGUUUUUGAAAACAGAAACUGAAAACAACAGCAGUACCAAAUGGCUGCUUAGUUUUCCAAAACUGCCCAUGCCUUUAAUGAUCUCGUAAUAAAUUUUCCAACAAUAAUGAAUUAGUUGUCCAUCUAUGGGCAAAUAUGACAUACCUAAAGGCUGCAAGUCAUUCUUUUUAACAUAGCAAUGUCAGAUAUAUAUGCAUAUGAAUAUAUAUUUGUAUUUUCAUUUAUUUAUAUAUUGGUGGCAUUUCACUUUCAAUGUGACUAGUGAUUUCUUGAUUAAUCUUAGAAAAAUUUGGAAUCACUUUUUAUAUUCAAUAUGUGUUCGUUCAUCUUGUGUGGGAUGUACACAAACUAAAUGAUGGAGAGGCAACGACCCUCGCUUAUCUAUUUGUGCUUUCUUUAGUGUUCUGGGGUUUACAAAUGUAAAGGGGGAAGAUCAUUAGAAUAUAGUGAGUAGAUGGCCUCUGCCAAUCCCUUGAAGGCAUGAUGGUAAUUAUAAAUUGGGCAUGAAUGAAGGACACCUGCAAAAAUUUUGUGUUAAUUUUUCUACUGACAACAUGGAUCCAUGAUUUAGUUUUGUUGCUUUUUAAUCUUUUAACCAGUCUCAUUACUUGAUUUUGAGAAUUUGGUUUAGGAUUAGAAAUGAGAGUUGACAUGAAUCCUCUCAUCCUUAAAAUAAGUCCUAUUGACCCAACAUUUCAAUAUUUUUGUUUUAUCAUAUAUUCUGCACUGGUCUUUGGAACAAACUAUGGUUUAUCGUACCUUCUCAAACCAGAUGGUGCGGAGCGUAUCAUACCGUACCGGUACUCGGUAUGUCAAAAACGCUCCGUGCCAACACUUGGUACGCCAAAAGGCCUCGUACCGUACCAAUCAGUACUAAUGUGGCACCAGUACAAGGUCUGGUACCGAAACAGCGAAUUUUGGAACAAAUAUAUGCUCAAUUUCAGUUCUUCAGCCUUAAAAAGUUCGUUUUGAUUGCUCAUUGCCAUCUUUUAUGGGAUUUAAAAUCGCUGUUUUAAAAAGCAUUUAUGUGGUUGCAUAUUCAUAUGCAGCACUCUAACUGCUGAGCAUAGGGUCCAAGCUGUAUGUGGAUGGACUGCAGACCAUGUCGUGGGUGCCCAAGUGGCUUGCGUAAGCUGAAGACCUGGUUAUGUGGCUUUCUGCAUCUAUAAUUUUUCUCAUUUUCUCUGAUUUUUUUAAAGUUAUUUCUAAAGUUUCUAUUCUUUUAUCUGUUAUUAUGAAUUCAGUUUUUUUUUAAAUAUUUUAAACAAAAGAAUCAUAUAGGUACCUGCCUAAGCAGCUGUAUACUGCAUAAGCACUGUGAUACCUUGACUGCCUGCAUACUAUGGCUUCUCAGAACUUGUUUGGAAUGACACUCAGAAGAAUACUGCAUUAACUAUUAAAGUUAUCCGAGUUGGUAGGAAGGAGAUACUACAAGUUGCAUUUCAUGUCUAUUGGAUACUUCUUAGAUGCAUUCAGGAUAUUUGGCAGACACCUCCAUGGAUGAGGGACAAGGAUUUUUUUUCUUUUAGUUUAUGGAUUUGUUGGUUUUGACCUUUCAAUGUGAAGCAAAACUAUAAAGCUGCAUGCUAUGAAAUAACAAUAAAUGAACAUUUGUAUUUACAGUAUUUUUUUAAGAACAAUAUUUACAGUACUAAUGUAUAUGUUCCACAACUUGUAUGACCAUUAUUUACUGUAUUUGACUAAAUUUGCUCAACAGUUCUGCAGUCUUACUUUUAUUGAGCCAAAUACCUGAAAGGGUAACUUGCUCUUGGUUAAUUAACUUCCACAAAUAUUAUAAUUGUAACCAUACAGACUCAUGCACAAGAUAUUGUUGAUGAGGCACAGUUCAUCGUAGCUCGUAUGUUAGCAUAGUGAUGGGUUGUUGUACUGACCAUAACAAGAGGUUCUAGAUUUGUCAGAACAAGUUUUAUCCCUCACUAAAAGUCUGCACAGUUUUCCAUUUUUGAGGUUCCCCAGGAAAAAAAAAACAAAGAGCUCAGUACUUCUUGUAUUAUGCCUUCAUGAUAUAACUAAUUAAAAAAAUUGUAUUGAAAAGCAUGAUAUUGAAGGAAUAUACUCUUUCUACCUCUUCAUUAAGUAAAUUCAAUUUAUGCAUUGAUAAUUUCUGUAUUUCUUCGUCUGUAGUUGCCACUUACAGUUUUGUCUUUGAACCUUUUAUGAGAUAGGGGUAUGCGCUAAUUGAAUAUGAGACAUUCAAGGAAGCACUAGAUGCAAUCAAAGCACUGAAUGGAACUGAGCUUCUCACACAAACUAUUUAUGUUGACUGGGCAUUUAGCAAUGGCCCAUUCAGGCGCAGAAAUGCGAGGAGGAGGUAGAAUUCUAUAUACUUGACCAAUCAUUAUUUUCAGCCAAGUGAUCUCUUUGGAGUACUUUAUUUCUGCAUCGAUGUAUUGAAAAUGUUUUGUACUGCAUAUGCUUGUAGAGUUAAUCUGAAUGAAUGCAGAAAGGAAAAGAAAAGAAAAGCAGCUCUCUCAUUACCCUUUCAUGUAUAGGUUCCUGUUUUGUUGGUCGCAUUAUUCUAGAAUCAUCUUAGGUUCCUAAGUGCUCCUAAUUUGUUGAUCAUACUUUAAUAAGUGAAAAGUACAUUAGAUGGUAGUCAUCAUUUUUAUAGGCUCUAUUUUUAUUAAGUAUAAAUCAUUUAUGCAUGGCAUUUGUCUGAGUACACUUGAUUUCCUUGCUAACCGUGUUAUUAGUUGCCCAAAGGUUUGCUAUUAUCAUGAUGCUGGUGGACCUGCUUUUACGGUCUUUAGGAUCUCCAGCAGCUGAUCCUCAUUCUGCUCAAAGCAUUUCUGUCUUUCUCGUACUUAGAUAGCAAUAGCACAUUUGCUUUCUCUUUCAAUAUUUUAUCAAACCAAGUUAUUUAUUGCUUUUUCUUGCUGAAUGCUAAUAUAAUUCCAAAUAUUUUUCAGUAAAAUGCAGUACUUUCCUUUUUAGUGUGGAUUUUUUUUUUUCAAUCAUCUGCAGAUCACCACGUGUGCACCGUUCAAGGAGCCCACCUAGGCGGAGGUAUUGAAAUGCAUUAAUCUGCCCACCGGACGUUAGAUUUUAGUGUGUUGAGAUUUGGGAUUUGGAGUUCAAUCAUUUUCGUGGUUUGUUUGAUGCUAACAGAGAAAGUUAGAUAUAUAUUACUGGGCUUGAUUGAAAUCUGUAUGCUUCACCCACUGGUAGUUUUAGUUGUUGCCCUUUUCCUUUGGAUUCUUUUAUGUCAUGUUCCUUAAACAAGGUAUGGCCUUUGGGUGAACUAAUGAUGUACUUAAUUGGAGGUCUUUAUUAAUUAGUGCGCUGUCUAUUGGAUAUCUAAUGAUCUUUGUGCUAUUCCAGAAAUGCAGAAAUGGAGUCUUCAAAAUUUUAUGAUAUGGGAUGUAAUAUAGGCACUUCAAAUUUUAAGAUACUGGUUUUGAAAAGCGUGCUUUGAUGUUAUUGCUUGCUGGUUUAUAAGAUGCACAUAAACAAGAAUGGGACUUGCGGUUUGCUUAAUGACAAUAUAGUGAGGUCCGGUUCGGCCUGCCCAAUUUCCAUGUUUUUUGUUCACUUCGCAAUGUUUGAACUACCUUUCUAUCAAAGAAUAUUGUCAGUUAUGGAUGUGCAUUAAUCUUUGGAUUCCUAACCACCUCUCUCACUGCUGAUCAUAUUUGUACUUGCCCUUUACAUAUGGUUUUAGAGUGAUCAAUCAGAUUGGUUUCUGCUUGACAAGUUUUUCAUUAUUAGUGAGCAUGUUCAUUUGUCUGUAUUUUAAUGAUUAAUGAUCGAAACCAAGAUUCGUUGUUUCGGUACCAAACUCCGUGCUAGUAUAGUAUGGUACAAAUUUUUUUUGACAUAUCGAGUGUCAGUAUGCUAUUAGUACCGAAUAUUAGUAUUGAAUUGCUAUAGUAUGAUAUAUUUUUACCUUUCGGGUUGUAGCAUAUACAUGUUGCUUAUUAAAGAUGGUUUGGUUCACCAACAGAGCAUUUACUUCAGGUCGUGCUUUCGCAGUUACAAGAAGUCUGUAUGCUUGCUUUGCAAAUAAGAUACAAUGGUUAAUGCUAGUCCUGAUCCAGCAGUACAUUGUACUUUGAGUCAUGUCAAAUUGCAAACUAUUCCCGGGUGAACUUGGGGUGAACACGUGCUGUUUUUGAAUCUCCCUAUUUCAUGAGUGUUGGGAUAAAUUUUGCUCAAGCAUUGCUAAUUGGAAAUAUGCUAAGAAACAAUGUUAAGUUGAGACAAACAUUAUUUUUUUUUUUUUGGUAAAAAUUUGAGACAAACAUUCGGUCGCUAGUUAAUGACCUAAAGAUUUGAAAAAGAUUAUCUAAGAAAAUUGUGGAACAAUUCCUGGAAGGCUGAAUGUUGCACCAGUAGUUGGAAAACUGGCCAUCUAGCUUAGUACGUAGAUCAUUUAUUCUUCCGUUGGAGAUCUUUUUCUCCUCCCCACUUCUUGGUUAUUGAAGAUUUCUAUUAGAGCAGAUUGGAGUGUAGAAUUCCUUCUCUUGGAUUGAAUCAAAAGAAUAUUAACAAGAGAUUAUAGUAGCAUAAAGGACCUAUCAAUUUAAAAAUGAUAUAUAUUUUUGUAAGAACUAGUACGGGAGGAAGCCUUAAUUCCGAAAUUAAAGUGAGCAGGAUUUCAAACUAAAUCACUACCAACAUCCAAUGACUUCACCAAUUGAAUCAUUUGGCACCCUAGUGAUGGCAUUGUAGGCAUAUAAUCAUUGUACGACAAGAACAUGAAUCCAAUAAAUAACAAUUGAUCCACCACCAACCAAUAUUUAUAAACAAAGAGGUAAUUAUAUUCAAUAUUUCUAAAGUACCAAGUGGGUUCAAUUGUUAAUAACUAAAAAUAUUCAAAAUCUCGUUGAUUAAUAUUGUUUUGCAAACUAUUGAUAUCUUCUGAUUUUCAAUGAUAUUAAUAAAUGCAAGUUUCUGCAUAUUCCAUGCAAAUUUCCUCAUAUUUAAAUAUAUAAUCUAGCCUAGUCUACAACUAAAACCAGAUAUAUGAGUAGAUCUCAGCAGCUGGCAAAAUGAUGCUGGUAUAAAGAGGCACAAGGGUGUGAGAAUUGAGGUUCUAGGGGUUAUGGGCAAUUCAAUAUUGCUCAUAAACAUCUUCAAAUGACUAAUCGUACAACUGAAAGAUUCAAAAAGGAAAAAAAAUUGUUAAUGAACGUCCCCGGGACAUCUCGGACCAAUUUUUAAGAAUUUCUUUUGAUAUCAGGUCACUAAGAUUUCUCAAAUUAUAAAGAAAAAGUAAUGUAACCCUGGCACUGAUGGAUUUUCUUUAAAAAAGAAGAACGAUGGCAGUAAUGACCAACAUCACUAAGCAAAUAAAUAAAUAGAUAAAUAAAUAUAAAACUAUGACUAUAUUGUCUCACAAAUAUUACUGGCUAGCAGGAGCUCCAAAAUUUAUUAAAUACAUUUUUGUAACACAGCAAGGUAAGGUGAGAGCUCAAGCUAGAUCCAUGUUUAAGGAACACAUGUCAAGAAUAUUUGCGUGAUAAGAGACUAAUCAACAUAUACGUUGCAUAGUUAAAAAGCUGUGAAUUAUAAACAGGAUUAUUGCUCCCUUAAUUUGUAACAAAGAGAAAUGAAAACAUUUUUGAUUUCUGUACAAAUGCGAAAACAAACAUACUCUCCAAACAUUACACUCCCACAUAAGACCUGCAAUAGGAACUACUGCUUGUCUCUGUCCUACAGGAGAGAGAAGAAUGACUCAUGGUCUCCCUUCGGUCCAAAUACUUCCUCCUCUUUGCCUCUGGUGCCUCUUCCUUCUUAAGAUCAUCGACGCACUUUGCAUCAGCAAGGCAUGUGAAAGACCGUGAUCUACCAGAGAAAUAAUUCGACAAUCCUUUCCUCCUGCAAAGAAAUAUAAUAAAGCAAGCAUGAGCCAGUGCAAUUUAAUGGCAAACUAACCAUAAAACUCGUGUUAUAUGAAUUCCAGCACUAAACUAGCGGCAAUAAUAUGCAGCUAGGAGAUGCUGCAAUGAGAAAUUGGAUGAUAUACUAUUCUCCUGUCUGCUUGAUGAAACCAUUUUUCAGAAGCUUGCAUGAAAACGACAGAGAAAGAAUAUAUUUUUAUUUUUCUACUGAAGAUAUAUAUGAAACUAGAAUGCAUGAGAUCAGAUAUUGGGCUCUUACUUUUGAGGGAGAUGAGAACUUAGAGAUCUCAUGUCGAAGAAAUCGAUGCCUUCCGAUUCUUUGUCGGAGGUGGAGUUGGAGGUGGAGGCGGAGGGGGAGGGGGAGAUGGUGGUGGGUGGCAUUGCGUUGUGUUGAACGAUAAGGUGGUGGAGGUGGUGGUGGUGGGGGUUUUAUAUGGGAGGGUAUCGAAUAAAGGAUGGGGUCAAAAGAGGCUCAUCAUAUGGAUAAGAGCUCAAGACGUGGAUGGAUUUGAGUGAAGCUCGGCUCGAUAAAGAUGGGCUUCAGUUUAGCCUCACAGCGUGUGCGGAGGGCAUUUUGGGGCGGGCAUCAGGAGGGCGACAUCAUCCCUCAUCUUUAUCUAUCCACCGAGGCCAAGCCAAGCAAAAGGGGUGCUCUUUCCUUGUACCAACCAUGUGUUUUUUGCAAAAUAAUAAAAAAAAACUUUGUGCUUUUCCUAGCAUAAGGAUACCUUUUUGCUUGGUCUUUGUUCUAACUCUACACUUUUAUUUUUAUUUUUUAUGUGUUAAGGUAUAGGAUCCAUUUCCUUGCUCUACUAGGAUGCUUAUGCUUAUUUUAUGAGACACUAUAUUCGUAAGGCAUAUAUAUUCUGUGAAUCACUAUAUACUUUUCUCAUCCUUUCCAUCAUAUUCCUCAAUCAUAAAAAUUAAAUCUGGUAUAUUUAUCAGAAGAUAAAAUUUUAAGAUGCUUGACUUAUGUCUAGGUUUGGAUACUUCAAACACAAAGUUGUACCACCUCUUCUUUCAUCUCCGGUUAAGCAAUUAGCUCGAAAGUUUCGCUCUCUAUACACAUGGCAUAUUUGUUUUUUGGGCUA